UCUUGCGGAAAGGCAUUCACUAUCGUUAGCAAAUCUAAUGGAACUUCAUAUUAGCAAUUUUUCGGACAGCACAGCUUCAGCGACUAGCGAUUUCAGAAAUUGUCACCUCAUUUACAGAGCACAGUCCAUCUUCAACGUCUAAUGCUAUAUCAGGAAAUUUAUCAGAUUUUCUUAAGAGGAAUGCAGGUUGGGAGUUUUAGCAGGGGCUACGUCUAGUGCUGAAGAGCUUGAUCUGUUGUGAUGUACAACAUAUUUGUUUUCAUUACAAAUCUAAUGGAACUUCAUCUUAGCAAUCAUUCAGACAGUACAGCUUCAGCGACAGGCAAUUUCAGUAAUUGUCACCUCAUUUAGAGAACACUGUCCAUCUUCUACGUCUAAUGCUAUAUCAGGAUUAUUGUCAGAUUUUCUAAAGAGGAAUGCAGGUUGUUUUGGAGAAGGAAUCUCUGUUUCGUUACUCAACAUAAAACAACAGCCAACAUAGAUGGUCUGUCCGUGGCAUCUUCUUGCACGCACAGUAGACCAAUUUGUAUGCAUUUCAAGGCUUCACGCGGAUGAUACAACUCCUUCAGUGAUGGAUCAACUAUCUCCAAUGCUUUGUCUUCUCUCCAUAAUUCCCACACCUGUGUUGUUCAUAUAAAUCAUUAGCAUACAAGAAAUGAGAGCAGGCAACAUCUAAAAUUGUGAACAUUGAAACUCAGCCAAGAGCACAAAAGGCUAUCUUAUAACUCACAUAUCCAAUCAAGGUCAAAGGAGGAUUCUGUUGAUAAAAUCUAUUGUUCUUCUUGCCACUAACAAUCUCUAGCAACAUGACCCCAAAACUGAAAACAUCUGAUUUUGCGGAAAAGUUUCCAAACACAGCAUAUUCUGGCGACAUAUAUCCACUGCAUCAGAAAAACAAUAGUAGUUUUAGUAUUCCUGGUAAUCAAGGAUAGUACUUUGUCACUCGGUCUUUGUUUUAGGCAAAGGUACUUACUAUGUUCCCACAACUCUCCUUGUCCUAUCUUCAGUUUGGUUGCCUUCAAAUAUUUUUGCCAUUCCAAAAUCUGAUAUUUUUGGGUUCAUCUCUGCAUCCAAUAGAAUGUUGCUGCAUUUUAAAUCCCUGUGAAUGAUUCUCAACCUGGAGUCUUGGUGAAGAUAUAAAAUCCCACGAGCUAUUCCAACAAUAAUAUCAAAGCGUUUUCGCCAAUCCAAUAACAAUCUUCUUGUUUCAUCUGUUGAAACAAUUAUUUUUCAGACAACUAGUGUAAAUCAGGGCAAUAAAAACAUAAAGAGACUUACGGAAAAGAAACGAGUCCAAGCUUUUGUUCGGCAAGUAUUCAUAGAUUAAGAUUUGUUCUCCAUCCUGAGUGCAAUAACCUAGAAGUUUCACCAGAUUCCUGUGUUGAAGCAUUGCAAUUACCAUAACUUCAUUUUUAAAUUCUUCUGUUCCUUGUCUUGAACUUCUAGAUAACCUUUUUAUUGCAACCUCCAGCCCAUUAGCUAGCAGACCCUAAAAUCAUGUUACAAGAUUAAGCCUCUGGACUAAUAUUAUGCAAAUUAGAGAGGCCAUUUAGUUUUUAGCUAAAUGCAAGAAACUCAACCUUAUAAACAGAGCCAAAACCACCUUGCCCGAGUUUGUUAGCUGGAGAGAAAUUGUUUGUGGCCGCCGUUAUGGUGCUGAGCUUGAAAUAUUUCAAUUCAGUAGAAGUGCUGUUUACCUGCAGUUCAGAACCUUUUUUGGCUCUCUUCUUGAACCACAAAUAAGCAAACACGCUAAUGAGAAACCACAAUAAUGCAAUUGAUGGUGCUAAAACGGCCUGCAUCGUUUUUUCACGAGAAUCAUUUGACUUCCUUUUAGUAUCAGCUGCAUGAGAAUGAUAUCAUUUUCUUCCACUGAAACAUUUGGAGACCACACAGGAAGCUUUUGGUCAUCGUUACCAUAGAGAACGAGGUUACCAUAUUGGUCUACAAAGAGAAAUCCUGAGGAACCAAUGGUUGGAUCGUUCCUGUUUGCAACCCACACCACAGUUGUUCUGGUACUUUAUGGUACCGAAUUCCAAGAUAUCUAUUGCUAGAACUACCUGGACUGAAAAAUCCUAGUGCAAAAUUAUUUCCUUUGGAGAUAAGAACGUCACCUUCUUUAAUGGUUUGGUUCGUCUUUAAGGAGUCUAGGGAUGUACAAGAUAAGAAAUGGAGCAUUAAAAGAGAAAAAAGCAGGAACAGUUUUUCAGCUUCCAUGAUGGAGUAAAGUGGAUCUUGGCUUUUGGAAAGUGUCAAAUUUUGCUUUGUGGAGAAUGGAUAUGGCCUUCAGAGUUAUUAAACCCGGCCCGGGAGUUGACCCGGCCAAGUGGCCGGGUCCCGGGUUUCAUGGGUCAACCCGGGUCAACUCGGGUCAACCCGGAUUAACCCGGAAAAAUUAAAAAAAAAUUAAAGUUUUAAUAUUUCAUAUGAAAAAAUUCAUGUAAAUAUAGAUUAUACAUAUUAUAAAGUUUAAAAGAAUAUUUUAAAAAGUUUUUUAUCCUACAUUAAAAAGAUAUUAUGUUAAGCUUUUAAGUUAAAGUAUUUAAACUAAAAAAGUUUUUUAUCCCACAUUUAAAAAACAUAACUUUUUUCUUGGAAACAUAGAGUAUAUAUACUAAUGAGUUUCAAAUCCCACAUUGAAAAGAUAAUAUAUUAUCCUUUUAAGUGGAAGUAUUUAAACCAAAAGGUUUUUUAUCCCACAUUGAAAAAACAUGAUUUUUUUCUUGGGAACAUAGAGUAUAUAUACUAAUGGGUUUCAAAUCCCACGUUGAAAAAACAUGGUUUUUUUCAUGGGAACAUAGAGUAUAUAUAUAAAAGGCCUUCAAAUCCCACAUUGAAAAGAUACCAUGUUAUCCUUUUAAGUUGAAGUAUUUAAACAAAAGGUUUUUUAUCCCACAUUGAAAAAACAUGGUUUUUUUCAUGGGAACAUAGUGUAUAAAUAUGAAAGGGUUUCAAAUCCCACAUUGAAAAGAUACUAUGUUAUGCUUUUAAGUUGAAGUAUUUAAACCAAAAGGUUUUUUAUCCCACAUUGAAAAAACAUGGUUUUUUUCAUGGAAACAUAGAGUAUAUAUACUAAUGGGUUUCAAAUCUCACAUUUGAAAAAAAAAAAAAACAAAAAACAAAAAAAAUCGGGUCUCGUCCGGGUUCGCCCGGGUCACCCGGGUUCCGGGUCGACCCGCCGGGUCGCCCGGGUUUGGCCGGGCUGUUGCCACAGCCGGUCUUUUAUUAAACCCGGACCGGUCCAGCCACCGGGCCGGGCCGGGUUUAAUAACUGUGCUUCAGACAAGUCUCCAGAGAAGUUGCGUGACGGAAUUAGGCGUCUCUUUAAUGAGUUACUCUUUUCAACCUUCAAAGUCUAGACAAUGACUUGUUUUUGUUAAAGUAUCAAUCCAGGAUUUUUGGAAACGACACCGUCCUCUAGUUUUAGAAAUAUGUAGGUGAUUGCAUACGCAUAUAAAAACAACAUAAAAAAGACAAUAAACACAAAGAAAGAUGGAAUUGCGUCGAAAAAGACAAAAUCAUUCAAACUUUUAUUACUCAAAAAUUUUCUAAUUAAAUUUAAAUAUUAAAGCUCUUCUAAAUUAUUAUAUACUAGGAAAAACACCCUGAACAAAGCUUAAAAAUUAAUAAAAUAUUUCUAAAGUAAAUAAAAAAAUAAUCUAAAUUAACUUGAAAAAUAUGAUAUUUUCAAAAUAGUAAUUUCUAGUACUGGUUUGGAGGCCUUAACUUCAUAAAUAAGACCUUUAGGAAUAUUGCCUCUAGAAUCAAAAUUUAUGUCCAUUAUCAUAAGGUCAUGCGUUGGAUGAAAAUCUUCUACAUCAGUCUCUUUAUGUUGAAAAUAACUUGUUUUCAAGUUCAAAUUAUUCUUGUUUUGAUAUCGUGAAUGCUUAAUCAAAGCUCUCAACCUCUUUUCCUUUCUUUUCUUAAGGUAUAUAACAAUACUAGAUAUUGGCUUUAGUUCUUUAUCAACAUAUGUUGUAUCUAUAUAAUCCUUGAACAAUUCUAUCUUUGUGAUAAUAGUAAACUUGUAAUCAAAAGGAUCAACAUAAUCUAAAUCAAUAAUUUAAUUUUAUUGGUCAUCUUCGGUAUUCUAUUUACACUUAAUUUCUACCUUAUCAAUAUGAACACCAUUGAUGACAUUAUUGCUCCUUUGCUGUCAUUGUUUAUGUUAUUAUUAUUAUCAUAAGUGUGGCUAGGUGAUCACACACAUAUAUAAAAGUUUAGUUUUCUUUGUUAUUUUUUUCACUUGGAUCGUUUUUGUUUUUGAGUUUUUUAGAUCUUGAUUAUGGUUCUUGAGAAAUAAUUAGAGUUGUCAGUGUUACGCAAAAAAAUAUGGAAGGAUUUGAUCUUCCAUGUGUUUGGUCUGAUAAAUCCAAGCUAUGUGGUUUUUACUUUGUUGAUUCAGCUUUCUAACUUCUUCUUCUUCUUUUUUAUGUUUCAUGUGUUAUGUUGUUGAUUCCUCUUUUUGCUGGAUGAUCUUAUGAGGUUUUUGAAUACUGUAAGGAUCUCUUGCUUUCUCAAUUUACUGUAUUUUGCUGCACUCUACAUCUAUAUUGAGUUUGAGCAUAGCCAGUGUUGUUAUCUAUUUUGGAACCUCACAUAAACAUAAAAAAAAUAAAAAAAAUAAAAAAAUAUACAUCAGUAGGAAGAACAUGAAGAAUGUCCAGAAAAUUGCCAACUAGUUGGGAAGAAUCAAAAUACCCAAAGUUGAAAAAUUGAUAGUUCAAUUUUGACUCAUGAAGGCCCUAUUAACAAGAAAAAUUCAAUUUGGAAAGAAAAAUUCAAAAUUAGAUGUUUAAUAACUCAAUUGAAAUUUUUCAAGGUUUAAUUGUAUUUAUUGAGGGAUUGAUUGCAAGGAAAAUUGGUUUUUAAGUUCAAUUUGAACUUUAAUGGGAAGAAAUUGAAGUCUGGGGGUUGAAUUGUAAUUUUAAAAGGCUAAUUUAGUUAGCUAAAAACAUGGCAUUGUAUUAUUAAUAUGAUGCGGUGGAUGGAGUGAUGGUGCACCCUUCCGAUGGUGAAGCCUGAAAACAUUUUAAUAUGAUGCAUCCUUAGUUUUCAAUGGAAUCAAGGAACAUGCAUCUAGGGUUAUGUACAGACGGAUUCAAUCCAUUUGGAUCAUUUGUUGCUCUUUAUUCUUGUUGGCCAAUAAUACUCACAGUUUACAAAUUAUCAUUGGGCAUGUGUAUGAGGUCGGAGUUCAUGUUUUUAUCAACGGUCAUACCAAGUCAUAAUAGUCUGAGUUAGAAUAUAGAUGUUUGUCUUUGGUGGUGAUUCAUAAGGAUUUCAGGCCUCCGUACAUGUCAGAGGCCAUGUGGGCGGAAUAUAUUCAGCAUGUGAUGUUUGAUCGUUACGUGCGACAAUCAUACUCCGGUUCAGAGAACCAGAACUAGAAAGUUCAUGGUUUUGUUAUCACACACACCAGCAGCUCCAUUCGAUUCGUUUCGCAUGCAAAACGAAUGGUUAGAUUAGUCUCUCUAACACUACAACCCAGUUCUUGCGAAUAGCCCGUAAUUUUUCAAACCAUUAGAUAUUUGUAAUCAGUUUCGAGCACUCAUACUCUAGAGUUCGAGAUGAUUUUAGACCAGCGAAUUAAAGAUUAGACGACCCAUCUUGUUGCUGAUUAUGAAUGACUACUUAGUGUUGAGAUAACCAAACUUCACCAAUUCGUAUUGGAGAUGAGAUCACAUAUGAGUGGUACUUGUGCUCCCUCUUAUUCGCCCCACAGUUUAGGCAAAGAUCUGCCUUCUCCUCCUCCUCCAGCACUUCUAUUCUAGAUGAAUUGUAUUUGAACUUAUAAAUGUUUAAAUUUGUAAUAAAUAUUUGAUUUUAUAUUAGUUUAAUUUUUUAAAUACUUUUUGUUUCUGCUUAAUAGAUUUUUUUUAAAUAUAUUUUUGAAUUAUUAAUGACAGGGUUACAAACGGACAUAGUUUGUCGGUAUAUUUUAAAAAGUUGAAAAAUAAUUACUGCAAAUAUCACUGUCAUUGUUUACUGACCGACAAAAUAACAUACAAUAUGUUUGACAAUUACAAGUUAAAUUUACCGAUGGACAUACUGACAGUUGAAAAAAAUCAUCAAUGCAAUGACAUGUGGUUUUUCUGUUAGUGAUAUGUUAUAUUCAAUGUUGGAAAUACUGAUGAAAUGAAGCAGGUAAAGUUUUUUUUUUUGCAUGCUUUGUACAUUAUUAAAUGUAUCUGUAAAAUUAUUACCGAUAGAUCACAAAUCAUUAAUGAGAGUUUUUUCGAUGGAAGAUUUUUGUCUGUGAUCAUGUCGUUAAGGACAUGAAGCAAAGAGUGAACUUCUUCCUAAUAAACACGUGACUUGGGACGGCAUAACAAAUAGAGAUUAGAGAGUCUUGUCGUACCUUAUUUUGCCCUCUUCUUGAGCCACAAAUAAGCAGUUAACAUUUGAUGCAAUUGAUGGUACUAAAAUGGCCAGCAUCGUUUUUUCAAGAGAAACAUUUGACUUCCUUGUAUUAUUAGCUGCAUGAGAGUGAAAAGAAUAAAGAUUCAACUCCAGAGGAAAAACAACAAUACAGAUCUUAUUAACAUUUGACUUUCUCCAAUGGAAACAUGACAAUACAAUUGCAAAGGCUGGCCCCUUCGGCACCUAACAAGUAUCAAUAUCAAUGGUUUCUUUCAUGAAGUACAGAGCUUAUUAACUACAUCCUAGAGCAGUGGCAAACAUUGAAAAGCUUUUAUAAAACAAUAUUUGAAAUGAAAAUUCUAAGAAAUUGGUACUGAGCAGAAAAAGGGCACCUAAUUCAUAUGCAUCAACACGAACAUAUAGAUCAUAAAUUUCACUCCUUUCAUAUCUGAUGUCUACUAAUUCCUUGUACCAUGUCAAACUGUUGAUAAUAGGUAUAUAAAGAACUGAAUGUUGAUGAUAACCAGAAAAACAAAGAACAAAGAACUUGCAACAAAUUAAGAACAAAGAGCAGAAUGUUUUUCAUAUUGGUUACUGCCAUCCCUUAGCUUUUAUUUAUAGAUGAAAUCAAUCACAACACAAUUAAGAAACAUAAUUAACAUAAACUUCUUCAUUUAUGGAGCUAUGUAACUUAUCCUAAAUAAGUUUCAUAUCUAAAGGUAAAAACUCACUAAACAACAUUAAGAUAAUGAUGUUACUAAUAGAUAAACAUUAAUGAAAGAUAACAUAUGGCUGAGACAUUAAUUUCAGCUUUGGUGCCAUAACUUCAACACUCCUCCUUGGUUCCAAAGCUGCACAUUCCUAUCAUCUCCCUUAGAUCUUCAAAUCUAUCUUUAGCUAAAAGCUUGGUGAACAGGUCUGCUAAUUGCUCUUUUGAAGUGCAGUAUAUCAUCUCUAGUUCCCCUUCAUGCUGGAAUUGCCUGAUAGCAUGGAACUUGAUCUUCAUAUGCUUGGUCCUGUCAUGAAAAACAGAAUUCUUUGAAAUAGCUAUUGCUAAUGUAUUGUCACAGAACAAUUCUGUGGGACUUCGUUGAUCAAAGUCUAGAUCAUUCAGCAUUUUCCUUAGCCAUAACAAUUGCUUUGUUGCCACAUAUGCUGCUAUGUAUUCUGUCUAUUCAGUAGAAUGUGCAACCACUGAUUGCUUCUUUGAGUUCCAACAGAAAAUGCUUCCUCCAAUAGCAAAGCAAUAACCUGAGGUGCUCAUCAUUUCUUCAUCACUUCCAGCCCAAUCACUAUCAGAAAAACCAACAAGUUUAACAGAACUUGAUUUCACAAAAUGCAUGCCAAACUCUAAGGUCCCUUUCAGAUAUCUCAGAACUCUCUUGGCAGCAACAAAAUGGAUUUGACUUGGACUUUGCAUGAACCUAGAGAGGUAAUUGAUAGCAAAAACAAUGUCUGGACGUGCAGUAGUUAAAUACAACAAGCUGCCAACUAAACUUCUGUAGGCUUUUCCAUCAGUUUUGGGAGCUCCAUCCUCCUUCAUUAACUUUUGUCCCAGUACCAUAGGUGUACUGACUGGUUUGCAAUUUUCCAUUGCAAAUUUGUUUAGUAGCUUCGUUGUAAACCUCUUUUGACAUAGGAAAUAACCUUGCUCCGACUGAGUUACUUCCAUGCCUAAGAAGUAUGACAGCAAACCAAGUUCAUUCAUCUCAAACUUAUCCUUCAUGUUGGUUUUAAACUCCUCUACCAGCUGCUCCUUGUCUCCUGCAAUCAAUAAAUCAUCUACAUACACUGAUACGAUCAGAGUAUGUUUGUCAACAUUUUUCACAUACAAAGUUACUUCAUUCAUGCUUCUUUCAAAGCCUAAACUCAAAAGAUACCCAUCCAAUCUGCUGUACCAGGCUUUAGGAGCCUGUUUAAGUCCAUACAAAGCCUUCUUUAGCAAAUAUACUUUGUUUGAUGUGAUCUCCUUUUCAAAGCCAUCAGUUUGUUCAACAUAUAUUUCUUCAUUUAGAACACCAUUCAGAAAUGCAGACUUAACAUCCAACUGAAAAAUAUGCCAACCAUUUUGUGCUGCUAGAGCAAGCAAGAGUUUUAUUGUAUCAAGCCUAAAUACUGGAGCAAAUGUCUCAGUGAAGUCAAUACCUGGCUCUUGUGAAUAACCCUUCACUACAAGUCUUGCUUUGUGCUUGUUGAUACUCCCAUCUGCAUUCAGUUUGGUUUUGAAAAUCCAUUUCACACUAAUUACCUUCUUGUGAACGGGUCUGUCAACCAACAUCCAUGUUUCAUUCUUUUCUAUCAUCAUGAGCUCCUCCUUCAUUGCAGCUAUCCAUACUUGUGAGUUAAUAGCUUCUUCAAAAUCUAUUGGUUCUGCUUCAGCAACAUUGCACCUGCUGUAAAUCUCAGCUAAGGACCUUGUCUCCCUUACUGGUUUGUCAUUGACAGUAUCAUCAUCCUCUAUAGCAUCCAAUUUAAUUUGAUACUCUUGUUUUGUCUCUUCAAUUGAUGCAGCUUCCCAGUUCCAUGUACCAUUCUCUACAACUUUUACAUCUCUAGCAAUCACAACUUUAUUAGAUUUCAUAUCAUAGAUUUUAUAAGCCUUAGAUUUUGUGCUAUAGCCUAUAAGAAUUCCCAUAUCAGCCUUUUGAUCAAGUUUUCUUCUCUUUACUUCAGGUUGCAAGACAUAGCAAGGGCUGCCAAAAACUUUUAAAUGAUCAACAUUGGGUUUAAAGCCAUACCAUAUUUCAUAAGGAGUCUUAUCUCCUAACACUCUUGUGGUCAUAUGAUUUAGAAGGUAAGAUGUUGUGUUUACUGCUUCUGCCUAGAAUUUUAAUGGCAUUUUCUUCUCAUAUAGCAAACAUCUUGCCAUUUCCAUCAAUGUUCGGUUUCUCCUCUCACUGACUCCAUUCUGUUGUGGAGUGUAGGGAACUGUCAAUUGGUGUUUGAUCCCUUCUUUUGCCAAGUAUGCCUCAAAUUGUCGAGAGGUAUACUCUCCUCCAUUGUCAGAUCUCCAUAUCUUCAAUCUAUUUCUUGUUUCUACUUCAACUGCUGCUUUGAACUUAACAAACUCAGCAAACACAUCAGAUUUUGAUUUCAGAAAGUAAACCCAGCAGUACCUACUAUAAUCAUCAACAAAUAGAAGAAAAUACUUUGAACCAUUCAAUGAUUCAUUAUGCAUCGGCCCACACACAUCUGUGUGUACAAGGUGGAGUUUUGACAGUGCUCUAUAUGCAUUGUCAGGAAAAACAACUCUAGUUUGUUUUCCUAACUAACAGGCUUCAUAAAUACUCUUUUGUUCCUGUAUAUCUGGUAAACUGUGAGUCAUCUACAGGUCAGCCAUUCUCUUUAAAGUUGCAUAAUUGAAGUGCCCCAACCGUUUGUGCCAAAGAACAGAUUCAUUGUUCUCAUAAGUGUUAGCACUCAAACAUACUUCUCUCCAAUCAACAUUAAAACUUCUGUUCAUCAUUUUUGCAGAAAGCAGUAGCACUCCAUUUUUAUCGUUAAUAUCACAUACUCCAUCAUUAAAGAUUAUUGAGUAACCAUAUUCAAUUAAUUGUCCCACACUAACUAGAUUCUGAUUGAUCUUAGGUACAUAAAGAAUAUUUUUAAGAGUUUUUGUACCUGACAAUGUUUCUACUUCAAUUGCUCUUUUUCCUUCAACCUUCACAUAGUCUCCAUUGCCAAUUCUGACUCUAGAUAGAUAGCUUUUAUCCAAGUCUCUGAAUAAGCUCAAAUCUGCUGUCAUAUGGUUAGUGCAGCCACUAUCAUUGAGCCAUGAUGAGUCGUUUGCCUUUGCUGUGUUACACAUCUCCUGUAUUGUAGCCAUGAAUAAAAGAUCUUUCUUAACUUUUGAACAAUCGGCUACUUGAGCUUGUUUUACUGUUCCUGCUUUAUUUUUGCAGAAUCUUUGAAUGUGACCAAAUUGCUUGCAGUUUCGGCAUUGUGCAUUCUUGAGCCAACACCAGGCUUCAAGAUGAUUUGUUUUCUGACAGAAUUUGCAAGCAGGAAAAUGUUCUUUCUUCUCUUUCCCUCUAGUGAAGUUGUUGUUGUUCUGUUGCCAGUUAUUGGAUUGCCAGCCUUUCCCUUUUUUCUCUUUUUCCUUCUUGAUUGUUUUUGUAAAAAUUCUUAGCCCGACUCUUCUCCUUGUAAACUGCAACAAGAGCUCCUUCACUUGAUCCUUCUUGUCUAUAAGCUUGCCUUUGCUCCACAGCUUGCAAUGCAUUUACCAGUUCUUGCAGGCUCAUUUCAGAGAAAUCUUUAGAAUCUUCUAAAGAGCAAAUUUUAUGUUCAAAUUUUUCUGGUAGACUUACCAGAACUUUCUCUACUAUUCUUGAAUAUGAAAAAUCUUCUCCCAAAAGUCUCACUUGAUUCACAAGUUUUGAAAUUUGAGAAGAGAAGUCUUUGAUGGUUUCAUUUUCUUUCAUCUUUAAACCUUCAAACUAUCUUCUAAGAUUUAAAAUCUGCAUCUUCCAUGACUUCUCAUCACCAUGAAAUUCUGCUUUUAAUUUAUCCCAUGUUUCUUUGGCAGAUUUACACGCCAUGAUCCUUGUGAAAAUGUCUUCACUAACAGCAUUAUGAAGACAGGUAAGAGCUUUGAAUUGCUUUGCCUUUUCUUCAUUAAAAAAUUUCAUCUGUGCAAUCGUAGGAUUGUUUCCUAGUGGAAUUGGUUGCUUAUCGCUCUCCGCUAUCUCCCACAAGUCAAAAACUUUGAGAUAAGUUUCCAUUUUCACAGCCCACACACCAAAAUUCUACCCUGUGAACACUGGUGUUUUUGCUUGAAAAUUUACAGAAUCCAUUUCUUAAAAAAAAAUCACUUAAUCUCCCGUGUUUCACUCACAAUCCCUUCAAAGAAAAAUGCUUUGAUUUAACCUCACUAAUCUCUCGUGUUUCACUCACAAUCCCUUCAAAGAUCAAAGAAUGCUCUGAUACCAAUUGUUGAUAAUAGGUAUAUAAAGAACUGAAUGUUGAUGAUAACCAGAAAAACAAAAAACAAAGAACUUGCAACAAAGAACAAAGAGCAUAAUGUUUUUCAUAUUGGUUACUGCCAUCCCUUAGCUUUUAUUUAUAGAUGAAAUCAAUCACAACACAAUUAAGAAACAUAACUAAUAUAAACUUCUUCAUUUAUGGAGUUAUGUAACUUAUCCCUAAUAAGUUUCAUAUCUAAAGAAAGUAAAACUCACUGCAACACAUUAAAGAUAUGAUGUUACUAAUAGAUAAANNNNNNNNNNNNNNNNNNNNNNNNNNNNNNNNNNNNNNNNNNNNNNNNNNNNNNNNNNNNNNNNNNNNNNNNNNNNNNNNNNNNNNNNNNNNNNNNNNNNGGUGCCAUAACUUCAACACAACAACCAUCCCUUUUCCAGGAAUUCCCAAUGAUUGCGUUAUGCAGAGCAUGAACAAUUCCUCUUGCAUUCCAGUUCACAGGCUGCACGACUCUUGCUCUUGUCCAUUCAAGCUGCAGACGAAGUGUCCGGAAGACUGUAAUUCUCUAUCUUCACAAACCCUUCUCCAUGAUCGCACAACGAAGACGUCUGUAGCCGCUUCCUGACACAACCACCAGAUCCAUCUCUCGUAGACCAUUCCUUUGGGUACUUGGGCUCGAACCCAGGUAAACAGGCACAUCCAAAUCUAUUAUGAUUAGUAAGUUCACACGUACUAUCAGCACCACACAGUCCCUAAUAGUCGUCGCACUGAAACAGUGGGGUCUUCCAGUAAUCCUUCCACUGACCAUCACUUUCUCGCCAUGUUAACGCCUUUACAAGUCCUGGAUGAUCCACUAUUAUUCUUAGCAGAUAAGAAUCAUCAGGAACUGUGUAGACAAAGUACUUUUCGUCUGGAUCAUUUACAAAAGUGCUUUUGUAUAAGCCCAUCUGACUUCUCCAUGGCCAAGGGGGAGAUCUACUAAUUGGCUUUUUACCAUUAUAGAAAAAGAAUUGUGGCGAGCCUUUUGGGUUGAUCCUAACUGAAAAGUCCCUGAACCCAGGGUCUUCAGCUGAUCUCCAUGAUGUUAGGAACCGAUCAAUUCCUAAUUUUCGAUCCAGCCCCAGUUUCAUUCCAGGAAGCAGGAUGUUCGUAGGAUAAUCGAAGCUUUGCCAUACAGUUUUCCUGCUUCUUUUCCUGACCAAAAUCAAAUUUCCUGAAUCCAAGAGUUGGAGACACACAGGAAGCUUUGGGAGAACCACACAGGGAAAGGAGACCACACAGGAAGCUUUUGGUCAUCUUUCCCAUGGAGAACGGUUAAUAAAGAGAAAACCCAGAGAGAGAAAUCCAGAGGAACCAAUGAUUGGAUCGUUCCUGUUUGCAACCCACACCACAGUUUGUUCUGGUAUUUUAUGGUACCAAAUUCCAAGAUAUCUAUUGCUAAAACUGCCAGGACUGAAAAAUCCUAGUGCGAAAUAUUUUCUUGAGAUAAGAAGGUCACCUGUUUACUGUUUGGUUCGUCUUUAAGGAGUCUUGGGAUGUAGAAGAUGAGAAAUGGAGCAUUAUAAGAGAAAAAAGCAGGAGCAGUUUUUCAGCUUCCAUGAUGGGGCAAACUGGACCUUGGCUUUUGGACAAGUGAAUUGUUGCUUUGUGGAGAAAGGAGAUGGUCUUCAGACAAGUGUGGGACCAUUAGAGAAGCAGCGUGAAAAAAAUGGUUUUUUUUUUGUUUAUAGUGGUAAUGAUUUUAAAAAUAAAAAGUUAAAUGUAUUAAAAUAAUUUUUUUUUUUUAAUAUUAACUUAUUAAAGUAAUACAAAAAUAUAAAAAAAUUAAUUUUAAAUUAAUUUUUUUAAUUUUUGCAAAUCUUCAUUUAGACCACACUCCCAUGUUAUCAUAUAAUCGUGUCCUUUGUAUUCUAUAUUCGCUAGAAGGCAACUCAACUUUUUUUUCUUUUUAUGUUUGAUUUUAAUUUAUAAUAAACUAAUUUGAUAUAAUAUAUAUUAUGGUGAUAUCUAAGAUUUCGGAUGAUUAUUUAAGACAUGAGUUCUCUAAAUACCUCAAAUUUACUAGAUUAAUGAUAUUAUUGAAGAUGAUGGUUUUUCAAUUAAGAAAGAAUAUUAAUUUGGUGAAAUUGGCCAUAUUGUGAUGCAAAGAUAUUGUGAAUAUCACAAUACAUGACUUUAUUCUUAGUUUAUUGUGCAUGUUAUGAGAUAAAUUGAAAUUGAUUUGUCCUCCAAAAUCAUAAAUCAUAUAAUUGAGAUAGUAAAAUUCAAAAAAAAAAAAAAUACUUUGUUGUUACUAAUCUUAAAAAGGGAAAGAAUUGAUACAAUGGCGGACAUCAUAAGUUUUAAAUCCAUAAAACAACUAUUUUUUUUUUGUAUUUAAUUUUUUCAAUUUUAUUCAUCUAGUCGAAUUGAUAGUAAUUUUCAAUUUUUUUUAUUUAAUUUUUUCAAUCAUUAUUCAUCUAGUUGAAUUGAUUUUUUUUAAUUAAAGUAACUAUCCAUAAAAGAAUAGUUGACGAACACCACACCUAUAGCAUAACAUAUGAUGAUGCUGUUAGGUUUCUUCCUUGACACUAGGCAGAAUGGAUCAGUUGUUUAGAAUCAGGCUGGGAGUUUUAGCAGUGCUGAAGAGCUUGAUCUGUUGUGAUGUGCAGCAUAUUUGUUUUCAUUACAAAUCUAAUGGAACUUCAUAUUAGCAAUUUUUCAGACAGCACAGCUUCAGCGACAAGCAAUUUCAGAAAUUGUAACCUCAUUUAGAGAACACUGUCCAUCUUCAACGCCUAAUGCUAUAUCAGGAUUAUUGUCAGAUUUUCUGAAGAGGAAUGCAGGUUGUUUUGGAGAAGGAAUCUCUGUUUCACUACUCAACAUAAAAACAACCGCCAACAUAGAUGGUCUGUCCGUGGCAUCUUCUUGCACGCACAGCAGACCAAUCUGCACGCAUUUCAAAGCUUCACGCGGAUCAUACAACUCCGUCAGUGAUGGAUCAACUAUCUCCAAUGCUUUUUCUUCUCUCCAUAAUUCCCACACCUGUAUUGUUCAUAUAAAUCAUUAACAUACAAGAAAUAAGAGCAGACAACAUCUAAAAUUGUGAACAUUGAAACUCAGCCAAGAGCACAAAAGGCUAUCUUAUAACUCACAUAUCCAAUCAAGGUCAAAGGAGGAUUCUGUUGAUAAAAUCUAUUGUUCUUCUUGCCACUAGCAAUCUCUAGCAACAUGACCCCAAAACUGAAAACAUCUGAUUUUGCGGAAAAGUUUCCAAACACAACAUAUUCUGGUGACAUAUAGCCACUGCAUCAGAAAAACAAUAGUAGUUUUAGUAUUCCAGGUAAUCAAUGAUAGUACUUUGUCACUCGGUCUUUGUUUUAGGCAAAGGUACUUACUAUGUUCCCACAACUCUCCUUGUCCUGUCUUCAGUUCGGUUGCCUUCAAAUAUUUUUGCCAUUCCAAAAUCUGAUAUUUUUGGGUUCAUAUCUGCAUCCAAUAGAAUGUUGCUGCAUUUUAAAUCCCUGUGAAUGAUUCUCAACCUGGAGUCUUGGUGAAGAUAUAAAAUCCCACGAGCUAUUCCAACAAUAAUAUCAAAGCGUUUUCGCCAAUCCAAUAACAAUCUUCUGCUUUCAUCUGUUGAAACAAUUAUUUUUCAGACAGGUAUAAUUUGACAACUAGUGUAAAUCAGGGCAGUAAAUACUUAAAAAGACUUACCGAAGAGAAACGAGUCCAAGCUUUUGUUAGGCAAGUAUUCAUAGAUUAACAUUUGUUCUCCAUCCUGAGUGCAAUAACCUAGAAGUUUCACCAGAUUCCUGUGUUGAAGCAUUGCAAUUACCAUAACUUCAUUUUUAAAUUCUUCUGUUCCUUGUCCUGAACUUCUAGACAACCUUUUUAUUGCAACCUCCUUUCCAUUAGCUAGCAGACCCUAAAAUCAUGUUACAAGAUUAAGCCUCUAAAUUACAAUUAUGAAAAUUAGAGAAACUGUAGUAUUGAGAAGCCAUUUAGUUUUUAGCUAAAUGCAAGAAACGCAACCUUAUAAACAGAGCCAAAACCACCUUGCCCGAGUUUGUUAGCUGGAGAGAAAUUGUUAGUGGCCGCCGUUACGGUGCUGAGCUUGAAAUAUUCCAAUUCAGUAGAAGUGCUGUUUACCUGCAGUUCAGAACCUUUUUUGGCUCUCUUCUUGAACCACAAAUAAGCAAACAGGCUAAUGAGAAACCACAAUAAUGCAAUUGAUGGUGCUGAAACGGCCUGCAUCGUUUUUUCACAAGAAUCAUUUGACUUCCUUUUAGUAUCAGCUGCAUGAGAAUGAAAAGAAUAAAGAUUAACUCUAUAGGAAAAACCACCCCAUUUUCCAAAGGAAAUAUGACAAUACAUACAAGGGUAGCCCUUUUGGCACCUAAAACGUACCAAUAUCUAUGGUUUCUUUCCUGCAGGGAAGAGCUUAUUAACUACAGUCAAGAGCAGUGACAAGCAUAGGAAAGCUCUUAUGAAUCAAUAUUUGUGAUGACAAUCCUAUGAAGUAGUUACUGAGCAGAAAAAGGGUACCUAAUUCAUAUGCAUCAACACGAACAUACAGAUCAUGACUUUCACUCCUAUCAUAUCUAAUGUCUACUAAUUCCUUGUACCAUGUCAAACAACCAUAAUUUUUUCCGGGAAUUGCAAUGAUUGCGUAUGCAGAGCAUGAGCAAUUCCUCUUGCAUUGCACUUCGCAGUCUGCAAGACUCUUGCUCAUAUCCACCCAAACUGCAGCUGAACUUUCCGGAAGAGCUACAUUUUCCACCUUCACAAACCCUUCUCCAUGCUGGCACACCGAAGACGUAUGUAGCCGCUUCCUGACACAACCACCGGACCCAUCUCUCGUAGACCAUUCCAAUGGGUACUUGGGCUCGAACCCAGGUAAACAGGCACAUCCAAAUUCAUUUGCAUUGGCGAGUUCACACGUACUAUAAGCACCACAAAUUCCAUAAUAGUGGCACUGAAACUGAGGGGACUUCCAGUAUUCCUUCCACCGACCAUCACUUUCUCGCCAUGUUAAAGCCUUUACUACUCCUGAAUGAUCCACUAUUAUUCUUAUCAGAUAAGAAUCAUCAGGAACUGUGUAGAAAGAGUACUUUUCGUCUGGAUCAUUUACAAAAGUGCUUGUGUAUAAGCCCAUCUGACUUCUCCAUGGCCAAGGGGGAGAUCUACAAAUUGGUUUUUUACCAUUAUAGAAGAAGAAUUGUGGCGAGCCAUUUGGGUUGAUCCUAACUGAAAAGUCCCCGAACCCAGGGUCUUCGGCUGAUCUCCAUGAUGUUAGGAACCGAUCAAUUCCUAAUUUUCGAUCCAGCCCCAGUUUCAUUCCAGGAAGCAGGAUGUUCGUAGGAUAAUCGAAGCUUUGCCAUACUGUUUUUCUGCUUCUUUUCCUGACCAAUAUCAAAUUUCCUGAAUCCAAGAGUUGAGCUUCACAAGUAUCAUUUUCUUCCACUGAAACAUUUGUAGACCACACAGGAAGCUUUCGGUCAUCGUUACCAUAGAGAAUGAGGUUACCAUAUUGGUCUACAAAGAGAAAUCCUGAGGAACCAAUGAUUGGAUCGUUCCUGUUUGCAACCCACACCACAGUUUGUUCUGGUACUUUAUGGUACCAAAUUCCAAGAUAUCUAUUGCUAGAACUACCUGGACUGAAAAAUCCCAGUGCGAAAUUAUUUCCUUUGGAGAUAAGAAGGUCACCUUCUUUAAUGGUUUGGUUCGUCUUUAAGGAGUCGUGGGAUGUACAAGAUGAGAAUUGGAGCAUUAAAAGAGAAAAAAACAGGAACGGUUUUUCAGCUUCCAUUAUUGGGAAACUGGAUCUUGGCUUUUGGACAAUUUGAAUGUUGCUUUGUAGAGAAAGGAGGUGUUCUUCAGACAAGUGUGCGACCAUUAGAGAAGUUACGUGAAAAAAGUGGUUAUUGUGGGAUUUUUGUUUUAUGGGUAGGCUGUUCGGAAAUGAAUAAUAAUUAUUUUCUAAAAUGUUUUUUUAUUAAAAAUAUAUUAAAAUAUUAAUUUUUCGAUCAUGAAACUAUUAAUUUAUCCAAAAAUAUUUUGAUUCAAUAUACACUAAGUAUUUCAAUUUUUAUUUUUUUUGCGCGCGUGGCGUUUAGAUAAGACAAAUGUACAUUUACAUAUUUUUCUCACAAUUCUUUGGUAUUGGACUUCUAAAUGUUUUCUUAAGCCACGUGCCGCUGUCGGCAAAAUAUUAUUUUGACUUUUAGGGUCCUAUCGUUUGGUCGUUGGUCCUCCUAGAGUCAAGGAGUUUUUUUAAACAGGUAUCCGGGGAGGAGGGAAUUAAAAUCACCUCCAGGAAAUCUCCAUAGCUGUUGACUAGCACACCGUUGAUUUCUUGUUCAGUUUACUAAUCAGCUAUCCACUCUUUAAUCCCUGGAUUACUUUUCUAACUUCCUUUUUUUUCUUUUUUUUUUAUUCCAAGGUUAGGUAAAACACGAAUGGUUUAUGUGCUUCCAUCUCAGAAGCAAUUAAAUUGAAUAUUUAGUAGACUUUAUUAUUAGUUUAUUGUGCAUGUUAUGAGAGAAAUUGUAAUUGAUUUGUCCUACAAAAUCAUAAAUCAUAUAAUUGAGAAUGUAAAAUUAAAAAAAAAACAUAAAAGUUUAGUAAUGGUCUUAAAAAGGGAAAGAAUUGAUAUAUGUGCUAUGGAGGGUAUGGUGACUUUUAAAUCCAAAAAAAAAAAACUAUUUAAUUUUUUUAUUUAAUCAAGCUAACUUUCUGUUUUUUUAUUUAGUUUUUUCAAUCAUCAUUCAUCUAGUUGAAUUGAUUUUUUUUCAAAAUAAGGAGUUUUACAAGGACUAAAUUGCAUAAAUGUUAAGGGUGCAAUUUUGUAUUUUAGAUUAGGACACAUUAUGCUUAAAUAAUAUUUAUUUAAUAUUCUAAUAUUUAUUUGAUUUGAUUUUUGUUAGUUAUGUCAACUUAAUUCAUUAUUUAAAACAAUGUUAUACUUUAUAAGUGGCAUUCCAUAAUUGAUAUUUAAAAUUUAUUAAAUCAGAAUUAUUUUUAUUGUUUAACUACAAUUUUCAAAUUUAAGAAACUUUGAUUUAUUAAUUUCCCCAUGCACUGCAUCACUUGAACUUUACUCUUUAGGGUUUUCUUUCUAGUGGGCAUCAUGAGAAGAUACGCAUGAUUCAAGAAGGUACUGUUUUUUAAUAUUAAAAUAGUAAUAUAUCAAAAUUUAUUUUUUAAAUAUUAAAAUAAUAACAUAUUAAUUAAUUAGUCAAUCUCAAUUAAUCAUCCAAAUUUAUAAUCAAAGUUAUAAAACUAUAAAAACCUUAUGAAAAAAUUAAAACAAAUAAUUAUGUUGAAUUUCAAAACAAUUAUUUGAAGAAUGAAAUUUAAAAUUAAAAAAAAAGAUUCAAAUGAACCCAAAUCAAUUUAUUAAAUCCAUAAUUCGAGUUAUCUAUUCCACACUUGACAAUUGUUUUUUGCUCUUACAUUAUUUUGCAUUUAAUUACACAACAAAAAAUCUAAAAAUAAAGAACAAACAUUACAUGCGUGUGGGAUUUAAAAAAAAAAUGUUUAACUAACUUUUUUUUUUUUUUAAUCUUCAGGGGGGCUGAAAAUGCAUUAAGUAAAAAAUAAAAACAUUUUCAAAAAUUAACAAUCCAUCCAGGGGCAUCACCCACCCAUCCACCUACCUGACUAUAUAAAAAUAAAAAAUAAAAAUUAAAAUAUUUAAUGAAAAACAAGUUUUAAAAAAUAAAAAUUAAACUAAGUUAAUAUGUUAUAUUCAUGACCUGAUUCAUUUAUCCCACUAAAUUUAAUACCAUAUUAUUUAUUAAGAUAUUUUUCAUUUUGUUAUACAUCAAUGGAUGCAAGAUGUUUUUUAUAUCAAAUAAAAAAAAUAAAAAUAAAACAAAUAGGAUAGGCACGUGGGACAACACAAUGACCUAUUUUUUAAAGUAAAAUAAGAAAAAUGGUUUUUUAUAAGCCAAUUUAAAAAGGAAAAAAAAAAGUAGAAGAGGUCACAUGUAUUAUCUAUGCAAUGACCAUAAAAGCAUACCAAAUAAAAUAUCAUGAACUAAACAUAUCAUAUUUAUAUCUAAGCAAUUCACUUAAUUUAAUUAAAAAAACAAAAUUUAUUUUUUAAGAAAAGCUAAAUUUAACAAAAAACGAUGAAAAAAAAGACUCGAGAAAACCUAAGUCAUUUUUAAAAUUAGUAACAAAACCCUAUAGACAGUAAAUAAAAAAACAAAACUCAAUAUCUAAUUAAAUGAAAUGUUGAAGGAUAAAACUAAAAAAAAAAUAUAUAAGUUUGAAAACAAGAACAAAAAAUGAAUCGGAGCAAAUGCUCAAAAUCUAAGUUAAUCUCCUUAAUUCAUAACCUAUUAAAUCUUAGAUCUAGACUCAAUAAAAAAGUUUAAUUCAAUGUUAAAGGAUAAAAUAAAAUAAAAACAUUGUAAUUUUGUUUUGUCAAAGUAAAGAAAGUAGCAAUAAAAAAAUGAAGGUGGACAAAAUAUUUUUAAAAAAUUAAUUUUAAAAAUGAUCUCAAAUAAAAUAAAAGGCAGUCAAAAGAAUGAAUACAAAAUUUAAUAUAUUAAUAAAAUUAAAAGGAUAAUGAAAGUAAAAAUAAUCAAAUCAAAAAAUAAAGAUCAAAUCAAAAGAAAAAAAUAAUGGUUACUGUGAAAUUUUGAAAGGCUAUUAUGGAAAUCAAAGAUGAGAGAUAAAAAGAAAAAAAAAGCCAACCAAGGCCAAACUAAAUGGACUUACAUCACACACAACACCUAGAGAGGUAGGUCGUAUUAUGAUGAAUUGAAAACACCAAAGAAAGCUAUUUUUAAUAGUUGUAAGCUGCCACACAUACCGUUUAAACACAAAAGAAAGGCUUAUUCACUUAUAUGUGCAAUGAAUGCAUCAACUAUUUUUGCUUUUUUUUUUCCUUUACAUUUAUUGAAAGACUAAAUUGACUACAUAAUAAUAUUAACAACAACAAUAACAAUAAUAAAAAUAAAAAACAAAAGAAAAGUACAAAUUAGCCUUUAGAGGCCUCUAAGUUAGAAAAUUUUGAUUUCAUGGAUAAUAUAAUUAUUUUACCGUGCUAUAAAAUAUAAAAUAUAAAACAAUGCCUCUAUACAUUAGGAACAUAGUUUUUUAAAAGCAUUUAAGUACUUAUACUAUAUAAAAAAAUGAAAAGACCAAGAAACCUAUGAUUAAUUUUAUAAUGAUCAAUGAAGCAUGCAAAAGCCUGCAUUACCCCUGAUAGAUAGGCAAAGUUUUUAUGUGAGAAGGGAAAUAGUAAAUUUACUGCUAUAAUCCAUAAUAAUUCAACACAUAUCUAUAAUAAUUUUUCCAUGGGGUUUAGGUUUUUGUUAAUUCUACAUUGAAAUCAGGAAUUAAUGUAUUUACAAUAAUCAUUUAACUGGCUUGGUAUCAUAGUCUAUCAACUAAAAAAAACAUCUUAAAUAAAACUAAAACAUAAUAAAAGAAUUUCAAAUCAAAUAGAAAAAAGAAUUGUAAAUCAACUAAAAAAAUAUUGAAAAUCCCAAACAAUAAUUUCUUAGACUUAUUUGAAAGUCUUCCUACAUUUGGAUGAAUAUAAAAUUUUAACUUUAUAGAAAAUAAAAACUUUAAAAUUUUUUAUCAAAAUUUUAAUUUCUUCCAACAAUUAAAUCAAAAGUUAAGUUGUAUUUUAAAAAAAUAGUCUACUACAAUAAAAUAGCUUGAAAGAAAACACUAUUAGGACCAGUGGUUUUUCAAAAACACCAGCAUUUCCUUGCCAGUGGUGCUGUUUCUUAAGAAAAAAAAAAUCGCCCUGUGCUAGUUUUUCAAUUUUAUUUAAAGGUACUAAAUUUAAAAAAAAUCAGAAAAAAACACUGGAACAUAGUUCAGGAAAAAAGAGAAAAGGAUCUGAACCAAAAAUUUAUUUAAACCUAACACACAAGAACAUAGCAUCCAAUUGGUUUUAUGUUGACUAGCACGGUUUAAUCGAAGAAUUCUAGUCUUAACCUCGGAUUGCCUUACCAUACCAUUAUAUCUAGAAUGUUCACUUAUUUGGGAGGUUUUUCAUUGACUUGGCGUGAGAGGUUUUUAGAGAUUAUAGACUCACAAAUUCUAUGAUCAUUUUUUCUGGUUUCUAGGUUUUAUUUUGAGACACUUUCUAUUUUAUGGCUUGCUUCUAUGAGUCGUCUUAACACCAUUGAUAAAGUAUAUAUUUUUCAAAUCAUUCUCUCUUCGAUAUGUAUCCUUUGUAGGUCAUAAGUUGAAACACAUGAACAUUUAGUCUUUUAGUGCCCUUUUGCUGUUAUAGUUUAGGGUGCUAUCACAAGCAUAACCCUUAUGGUUUGAUCUUUUUUGACAUGGUGUCAUCUACUUUAGUGGGCAUAUAAACACUUGAAAAAGAAGGAAUUUAUGUAUCUACUUGCUCGAUUAGCCCUCUUAGCCUAAGUUUACUUCAUCUAGCAUAAGAGAAAUAACCGAGUCUUUCAUUAGAUUUUCCGAUCUCAUUAGGAUAUUUGCAAAAACAUUUUUUAUUUGGUCUAGUUCUAUUUAGUAGAGCUCGAACCAAGGUUUCACAUCUCAACUACUUUCAAAUCCAUUUGGUGCUUUCGAGAGUCACGAGAUAUCAUUGUUCUUACUAAUUUCAAGAUUUUAUUUAACACAUGUUCAUAUGUAAUAAACUAGUUAACUGGUUAAAUAAUUUCAAAAACUGGUUAAUCGGCUCAUCUGUUAUUUGUCUUCACAAUCUACUUUUGUAUGUUUUUCAAUUUCUUUUUUAACUUUGGCUUCUUUUCCUUUUUAAUUUUGAUUAGAUGAAGUUUUGAUUAGAUGAAGUAACAAGCUUUUUUAUACAUAUUGGGGUGUACCCCUAUAAUUUCUUCCCUUUAAUACAAUUACUUUUGUGAUGUUUUGAAAUUAAAUGAGUAGGUAAAAGGCAAUAAAGCCCUUGAAGGCUAAAAAUGAGUAUAAAUAAAUAAGGGGUAUUGUAGUAAUUGAACAAAGAGUUGAUAAAUAUAAAUAGAAAAGAAAAUAGAAGAGAGAGCUGUGUUUUAAGAGUGAAAACUGACAGGAGAAGAGAAGAAAAGGGGAGGAAGAAGAAGAGAAAAGAGGGAAAGAUAAGGAAAGGAGAAGAGAAUUGGAGGAAAUAAGUUUAAAGGUAAGAUUAUGUAUAAAUGUGUGUUCUUUAAGCUUUAAGUUCUGUUUUGAUAAAUGUUAGGGUUUUGAAUAUUGUGUUUUGAGUUUGAUUGAUGAAUUAAUUGGAAUGUUAUGGGUUGAUUGUUGUGGGUAAUUGGUUAAUUGGUUGAUUGUGAAAGAUUGGAGGUAAAGAUGAUGAUUUUGAGUUAUGAUUUUAUUUGAAUGGUGAAAUUGUGUUAGAAAUCAGGAGAUGACAGUAGGUAAUCUGUGAAAUUCUGGGUUUGAGGUUGAAGAUGAUGAAAAUUCAAUUUGGUCCCUCAAUUUGUGAAAUUACAGUUUGGUCCCUAAACUUUGGGAAAAUUAUAAUUUGACCCCUAAUUGUAUUUUGAGAUUCUGGACAGUGUUAUUAUGAGGUUAAGGAUGAUGAAUCUCAGUUUGAUAAUUGAUUGGGAAUAUUUUCAGUUUGGUCCCUCAAUUUUGGGAAUUUACAUUUUAGUCCCUGAACUUUAUGAAAAUUACAUUUCGGUCCCUGGUUCGUUCUAGACAGAAUUAAGGAUGGUUUAUGGGUGAAAAUUCAGUAUAGUUAUGUAUUUUCCAGAUUGGUCCAAUUUUGGUAAAAUUACGUUUUGGUCCCUGUUUUGGAAAAUUGUCGUUUUAGUCCAUUAAAUUAGGAGAAUAAACCUGGUUUUAUUUUAUGCAUUGGGAUCUCUUGUUUGAGUUGCUUUUGAGUAUAUUUUCAUAUUGUUGUAGGUUCUCCUAACGAUCCUCAAUAGGAUUUUCGGGUCUUUCGUCUGACAUUCCUUUUUGUUCUAUAUUUUCCGGGUGAGUGGGAUAAUCUUUAAUAUGCAUAUAUGAUAAUUAAAUAUGUAUGUUGAUUAUACAAUGAGUACAACUCGUUAAUUUCUUGAAUAAUUAUAUAUGUUGCUUAUUUUCCGAAUACUCAUUUAUUCUUGAAUUUGCACUCGCAAUCUGUCAAAGUAAAUUCUAUUUGAUAUGAUAUACGUUUCUUUGAUGAUUAUGUAAAUAUCUAUUAUGCCUUGAUAUGAGACUUGUCAGUAACUCCAUGCUAACGGAGAGUAGUUAGUCUAUGUGCACAUAGUAUUCUGUAAACCUAGCUGGUGAGAGAGGCAUCAGCCUGUGGCGACUGAUCAUCCCACAGUGGUCACCUUUGGGUGUCAUCUGGUCACCUUCGGGUGUCAUCUGGUCACCUUCGGGUGUCAUCUGAUCUCUGACAUGUACUCCACUACGUUAUGAUGAUAUGUUCAGUAUGUAUAUGUAUAUGUAUAUCAAGAUAAAUGAUCUUGCGAACUAUUAAUAUCAAGAAUAUCUAAAAUGUAUAUUAAUUAUUAUUCCCUCACUGAGUUGGUUGAACUCACCCCUCAUUCUUAAUAUUAUUUCAGGUUCUUAGUUUCUGAUAGCAGGUGAACUUUGUUGAGUGUUCCUGCUUCUUCAGUUUUAAGUUGGUAUGCCUUACUUAUCUUUCAAGGCUGUUUGAUUCGAUGUCUUAGGCGCUCCACUAUUACCUUGUUUUGAUUAAGUUUGGAUUUUUGACAAUGUAAUGAGUAUUAUGAAUUAUUGUUUUUGUUUUAAUUACUGAUGAGGAGUUUUAAACUACCUUUUGGUUUUAUCAGUUUUGAAUAAUAUAAUAUUUCUGAAGAUUAUGAAAUGCUGCGUAUUUUUGAAUAAAUUAUUCUUUUGAUAUGUUCGUUUUGAGGCUUAGCNNNNNNNNNNNNNNNNNNNNNNNNNNNNNNNNNNNNNNNNNNNNNNNNNNNNNNNNNNNNNNNNNNNNNNNNNNNNNNNNNNNNNNNNNNNNNNNNNNNNNNNNNNNNNNNNNNNNNNNNNNNNNNNNNNNNNNNNNNNNNNNNNNNNNNNNNNNNNNNNNNNNNNNNNNNNNNNNNNNNNNNNNNNNNNNNNNNNNNNNNNNNNNNNNNNNNNNNNNNNNNNNNNNNNNNNNNNNNNNNNNNNNNNNNNNNNNNNNNNNNNNNNNNNNNNNNNNNNNNNNNNNNNNNNNNNNNNNNNNNNNNNAGACAAAGCAAGCAUCAUAACAUAAAUGUAGAUCGAGUAAAUAUCCACAAAAGAAUAGCAGACGAACACCACCCAUGUAGCAUUCCUUAUGAUGAUGCUGUUAGAUUUCUUCCUUGACACUAGGCAGAAAGGAUCAGUUGUUUAGAAUCAGGUUGGGAAUUUUAGCAGUGGGUACAUCGAGUGGAGAAAAGCUUGAUCUGUAGACUGUCUUGAGGAAAGGCAUUGACUAGCGUUUUCCCAUAAUUGAAAUUGCUACUAAUUAAGAUACUUGGAUGGAAAACGAGCCUUGAAAACAACAAAUCUUAGCCCUCCAAACAACCAUUAUAAAUAUUAUAUAAAUAAAAUAUUAAAAGAAAAGGACUACUUAUUUGAAAGCUAGUACAGUUCUAGCUCCUGCAUCAAAAGGAAAGCAGGUUGUUUAGGAGAAGGAAUUGUUGUUUCACUACUUGACAUAAGAACAAGAGACCGACUUGUAUGCAUUUCAAGGCUUUUAGGGGAAAAUAUAACUCCUCCAGUGAUGAAUCAACUAUCUCCAAUGCAUCGUCAGAAAUCAUUGUUAUUUAACUUUUCAUUGAAUUGGAUUGUUCGUGCAUGGUGGUGUGUGUAAAAUCUCAAAUCCCCAAUUUAGCAACAAGUAUUUUCAUUUCAAAUCUAAUGGAACUUCAUUUUAGCAAUUUUUCAGACAGCACAGCUUCAGCGACAGGCAAUUUCAGUAAUUGUCACCUCAUUUAGAGAACACUGUCCAUCUUCUACGUCUAAUGCUUUAUCAGAUUUUGUAAAGAGGAAUGCAGGUUGUUUUGGAGAAGGAAUCUCUGUUUCGUUACUCAACAUAAAAACAACCGCCAACAUAGAUGGUCUGUCCGUGGCAUCUUCUUGCACGCACAGGAGACCAAUUUGUAUGCAUUUCAAGGCUUCACGCGGAUGAUACAACUCGUUCAGUGAUGGAUCAACUAUCUCCAAUGCUUUGUCUUCUCUCCAUAAUUCCCACACCUGUGUUGUUCAUAUAAAUCAUUAGCAUACAAGAAAUGAGAGCAGACAACAUCUAAAAUUGUGAACAUUGAAAUUCAACCAAGAGCACUAAAAACUCUCUUGUAACUCACAUAUCCAAUCAAGGUCAAGGGAGGAUUCUGUUGAUAAAAUCUAUUGUUCUUCUUGCCACUCACAAUCUCUAACAACAUGACCCCAAAACUGAAAACAUCUGAUUUUACAGAAAAGUUUCCAAACACAGCAUAUUCUGGUGACAUGUAGCCACUGCAUCAGAAAAACAAGAUUCUGAAGUUUUAGUAUUCCUGGUAAUCGAUGAUAGUACUUUGUCACUCGGUCUUUGUUUUAGGCAAAGGUACUUACUAUGUUCCUACAACUCUCCUUGUCCUAUCUUCAGUUUGGUUGCCCUCAAAUAUUUUUGCCAUUCCAAAAUCUGAUAUUUUUGGGUUCAUCUCUGCAUCCAAUAGAAUGUUGCUGCAUUUUAAAUCCCUGUGAAUGAUUCUCAACCUGGAGUCUUGGUGAAGAUAUAAAAUCCCACGAGCUAUUCCAACAAUAAUAUCAAAGCGUUUUCGCCAAUCCAAUAACAAUCUUCUGCUUUCAUCUGUUGAAACAAUUAUUUUUCAGCCAGGUAUAAUUUGACAACUAGUGUAAAUCAGGGCAACAAAAACAUAAAGAGACUUACGGAAAAGAAACGAGUCCAAGCUUUUGUUUGGCAAGUAUUCGUAGAUUAAGAUUUGUUCUCCAUCCUGAGUGCAGUAACCUAGAAGUUUCACCAGAUUCCUGUGUUGAAGCUUUGCAAUUACCAUAACUUCAUUUUUAAAUUCUUCUGUUCCUUGUCCUGAACUUCUAGAUAACCUUUUUAUUGCAACCUCCAGUCCAUUAGCCAGCAGACCCUAAAAUCAUCUUACAAGAUCAAGCCUCUGGACUACAAUUAUGCAAAUUAGAGAGGCCAUUUAGUUUUUAGCUAAAUGCAAGAAACUCAACCUUAUAAACAGAGCCAAAACCACCUUGCCCGAGUUUGUUAGCUGGAGAGAAAUUGUUAGUGGCCGCCGUUAUGGUGCUGAGCUUGAAAUAUUCCAAUUCAGUAGAAGUGCUGUUUACCUGCAGUUCAGUACCUUCUUUUGCUCUCUUCUUGAGCCACAAAUAAGUAUACAGGCCAACGAGAAACCACGACAAUGCAAUUGAUGGUGCUAAAAUGGCCAGCAUCGGUUUUUCACGAGAACCAUUUGACUUCCUUGUAGUAUCAGCUGCACGAGAGUGAAAAGAAUAAAGAUUUAACUCUAUAGGAAAAGGCACCCCAUUUUCCAAUCGAAAUAUGACAAUACAUAUGGCAAAGGGUAGCCCUUUUGGCACCUAAAACGUACCAAUAUCUAUGGUUUCUUUCCUGCAGUGAAGAGCUUAUUAACUACAGUCAAGAGCAGUGACAAGCAUAGGAAAGCUCUUAUAAAUCAAUAUUUGUAAUGACAAUCCUAUGAAGUAGUUACUGAGCAGAAAAAGGGUACCUAAUUCAUAUGCAUCAACACGAACAUACAGAUCAUGACUUUCACUCCUAGCAUACUUAAUGUCUUCUAAUUCCUUGUACCAUGUCAAACAACCAUAAUUUUUUCCGGGAAUUGCAAUGAUUGCAUAUGCAGAGCAUGAGCAAUUCCUCUUGCAUUGCACUUCGCAGUCUGCAAGACUCUUGCUCAUAUCCACCCAAACUGCAGCUGAACUUUCCGGAAGAACUACAUUUUCCACCUUCACAAACCCUUCUCCAUGCUGGCACAUCGAAGACGUAUGUAGCCGCUUCCUGACACAACCACCGGUCCCAUCUAGCACAGACCAUUCCAAUGGGUACUUGGGCUCGAACCCAGGUAAACAGGCACAUCCAAAUUCAUUUAGAUUCGCAAGUUCACACGUACUAUAAGCACCACAAUGUCCAUAAUAGUCGCAGUGAAACUGAGGGUACUUCCAGUAUUCCUUCCACUGACCAUCACUUUCUCGCCAUGUUAAAGCCCUUACAUGUCCUGGAUGAUCCAUUAUUAAUCUUAGCAGAUAAGAAUUAUCAGGAACUGUGUAGACCCAGUAUAUUUCAUCUGGAUCAUUUACAAAAGUGCUUUGGUGUAAGCCUACUUGACUUCUCCAUGGCCAAGGAGGAGAUCUACUAAAUGGCUUUGUACCAUUAUAGAUAAAGAUUUGCGGGGUGCCAUUUGGGUUGAUCAUAAGAGAAAAGUCUCCAAUCCCAGGGUCUUCAGCUGAUCUCCAUGAUGUUAGGAACCGAUCAAUUCCUAAUUUUCGAUCCAGCCCCAGUUUCAUUCCAGGAAGCAUGAUGUUCGUAGGAUAAUCGAAGCUUUGCCAUACAGUUUUUCUGCUUCUUUUCCUGACCAAUAUCAAAUUUCCUGAAUCCAAGAGUUGAGCUUCACAAGUAUCAUUUUCUUCCACUGAAACAUUUGUAGACCACACAGGAAGCUUUUGGUCAUCGUUACCAUAGAGAACGAGGUUACCAUAUUGGUUUAUAAAGAGAAAUCCUGAGGAACCAAUGAUUGGAUCGUUCCUGUUUGCAACCCACACCACAGUUUGUUCUGGUACUUUAUGGUACCAAAUUCCAAGAUAUCUAUUGCUAGAACUACCUGGACUGAAAAAUCCUAGUGCAAAAUUAUUUCCUUCGGAGAUAAGAACGUCACCUUCUUUAAUGGUUUGGUUGGUCUUUAAGGAGUCUAGUGAUGUACAUGAUGAGAAUUGGAGCAGUAAAAGAGAAAAAAGCAGGAACAGUUUUUCAGCUUCCAUGAUGGGGUAAAGUGGAUCUUGGCUUUUGGAAAGUGUCAAAUUUUGCUUUGUGGAGAAUGGAUAUGGCCUUCAGACAAGUCUCCAGAGAAGUUGCGUGACGGAAUUAGGCAUCUCUUUAAUGAGUUACUCUUUUCAACCUUCAAAGUCUAGGCAAUGACUUGUUUUUGUUAAAAUAUCAAUUCAGAUUUUUUGGAAACGACACAGUCCUCUAGUUUUAGAAAUAUGUAGUAGGUUGCAGACACAUACAAAAACGACAUAAAAAAGACAAUAAACACAAAGAAAGAUAGAAUUGCGUCGAAAAAGACAUCAACCAUAAUAAUUAUAAUUCAAACUUUUAUUAGUCAAUAUUUUUCUAAACAAAUUUAAAUAUUAAAACUUUUCAUAAAUCACCAUAAACAAAACUUAAAAAUUAAUAAAAUAUUUCUAAAGUAAAUAGAAAAAAAUAUUAAAUCAACUUGGAAAAUAUGACAUUUUCAAAAUAGUAAUUUCUAGUACUAGCUUGGAGGCCUUAACGAGCUUAGAUGCCUUCAUAAAUCAAACCCUAUACAGAGAUCAUGGCUUCUAGAAACAAAAUUUAUGUCCAUUAUUUUAAGGCCAUGUGUUGGAUAAAAAUCUCUUACAUCAAUCUCCCCAUGUUGGAAAUAACUGGUCUUCAAGUUCAAAUUGUUCUUGUUUUGACCUCAUGAAUGCUCAAUCAAAGCUGUAAAACUCCCUUCCUUUCUUCCGUUAAGGUAUAUAACAAUAUUAGAUAUCAACUUUAGUUCUUUAUUAAUACAUGUUGUAUCUAUAUAACCCCUGAACAAUUCUACCUUUAUGAUAAUAAUAAACUUAUAAUUAAAAGGAUCAACAUAACCUAAAUCAAUAAUUUAUUUUUGCUACUUUGCACUUAAUUUCUAACCUAUCAAUAUGAACACCAUUGAUGACAUUAUUGCUACUUUGCAAUCAUUGUUUAUGCUAUUAUUAUUAUCAAAAGUUUGGCUAGGUGAUCAUAUAUAUAAUUUUAGUUUUCUUUGUUAUUUUUUUUUCAUUUGGAUCAUUUUUGUUUCUGAGUUUUUUAGAACUUGAUUUUGGUUCUUGAGAAAUAAUUAGAGUUGUCAGUGUCACGCAAAAAAAUAAGGAAGGAUUUGAUCUUCCAUGUGUUUGGUCUGACAAAUAUAAGCUAUGUGGCUUUCUAACUUUUUUUUUUUAUGUGUUUCUUGUGCUAUAUUGUUGAUUCCUCUAUUUGUUGCAUGAUCUUAGGAGGUUUUUAAAUAUUGUAAGGAUCUCUUGCUUUCUCAAUUUAUUGUAUUUUGUUGCGCUCUAUUUUUUUUAUUUUUUUGCAUAUAUAUUGUGUUUGAGCAUAGCAUGUGUUGUUAUUUAUUUUUGGACCUCACAUAAACAUACAAAAUACAAAAAAAAAUUAAAAAAAUGAAAAAAAAAUAUACAUCAGUGGGAAGAACAUGAAAAAUAUCUAGAAAAUUGCCACAGACUAGUGGGGGGGAAUCAAAAUAUUCAAAGUUAAAAAAUUGACAGUUCAAUUUUGAAUCAUGAAGGCCAUAUUAACAAGAAAAGUUCAAUCUGAGAAGAAAAAUUCGAAAUUAGAUGUUUAAUAACUCAAUUGGAAAUUUUCAAGGUUUAAUUGUAUUUAUUGAGGGCUUAAUUGCAAUGAAAAUUAGUUUUAAAGUUCAAUUUGGACUUUAAUAGGAAGAAAUUGAAGUUUAGGGGUUGAAUUGUAAUUUUGAAAAGCUAAUUUAGUAAGUUAAAAACAUGACAUGACAUCAUUAAUAUGAUGCGGCAGAUGAAGUGAUGGUGCACCCUUCCUGUUAUAACCCAAUUUUAGCCCAUUGGCUUUUAAAUUUAAUUUUACAAGGUUUAAAAUUUAAAAUUAAAAUAUAAGAGAUUUAUUUCGAUGAAAAGUGUGAUUUGUCAACUUGCAUGAAAACUAGAGACUAUAAUGUGCUUUUGUCAUUCUAUCAUUAUCUUCAAGAUAAUCUCUAUCUUCAAGAUAAUCCUUGUCUUCAAGAUAAAGAUACUUAUCCGCUUCCAAAUUUGAUUCUUAAUCAAAUUCAAACUUCAAAAAAGAGAAUGAGUUUAAUUGAAACUUAAAAGGAGAGAACCCAAAAAAAAAAAAAACCAAGAAUAGAGGGAGGAGAGACUGAAAACAGGAGAAGAAGGAGAGCAUUCUCCUGUCGGUGCCUACACUGCUACCUUCGCCUUCGGUUUCACCAGGUAAAGUCUUCUUCUUCUCUCUGUUUUUGUGUAAUUGUUGCAAGAAAACAGUGCCAAUGUAACUUAAUUACCUUCAUAUUGUGCAGUGCACGCGUGGGUUGAGCCACGCUUGCUUGCUGCCCAGCCAGGUCACUGGCUUGGAGCCAGUGACCAGGCUGGGUUGGCUGGGUCCAGCCCAGCCCAUGUUGGUUGGGCUCAACCCAACCCCAAAAAAAAGAAAAGAGAGUGGGUCGAAUCUGGGCUAUAGGCUCAGCCCACCCAAAUUAUGUUUAUUAAGGGUGUGUUUGGCAAAACACACCCUUAUGUCUUGGUCAUAAUUUUUAUGCUCAUUUCAGUUUGAUAUUUGGCCAAACGAGCCCCUUUUUGAUACCAGAAAAUUUCAAAAAUAUUUGGGGAUCUUUGUUGGUUGAUUUGUGGGCCCCUCGCACUUUGAUUUAUUUUUUUUUCUUUGCAUUUUGUAUUUGUUUUAAGUUAUGUGCUCAAUCUGUGGCCUAUUAUUGUUAAAUGCAAAUAUGUCGUGCAAUGUUUUUUUUUUAUUUCCAUCUAAAAAGGGCAAAUAAUAAUAAAGGAUAAACAAGAAAAAAAAUGACAUAGAAAAUUUCUUCUUCAAAUGCAUUUUUUGCGAAAAUAUUCACUGACGCUAGAGUCAGGAGUAUCGUAUUUUUUGGAUUUGUGCGAUAUUUACCAACACCAGAGUUGUAAAUAUUCGUAGGAAUUGUUCACUGAUACCAGAGUCCGAUGGUGAAACCUGAAAAUAUUUUAAUAUGGUGCAUCCUUAGUUUUCAAUUGAAUCAAGAAACAAACAUCUUGGGUUAUGUAUAGACAAAUUCAAUUCAUUCGGAUCAUUUGAUGCUCCUUGUUGGCCCGUGAUACGUUUUACAAAUUGUCACCAAACAUAUGUAUGAGGCCGAAGUUCAUGUUUUUAUCAACAGUCAUACCUGGUUAUAAUAGUCCGAGUUAAAAUAUAGAUAUUUGUCUUCGGUGGUGGUUGGAAGGAUUUCAAACCUGCAUACAUCUCUGAGGCCAUGUGGACAAAAUAUAUUUAGCAUGUGAUGUCUGAUCAUUUUGUGUGACAAUCACACUCUAGUGCGAAGAACUAGAACUAGUAAGUUAACGAAUCUGUUAUCCACACACCGACAGCUCUAUUCUAUUUGUUUCGCAUGCGAAGCAGAUGAUAAAAUUCUUUUUUUAUUAUAUAUAUUUUUUAUUUGUUGUUUUUUAUAAAUAUAUUUAAUUUACAGUUUUAUCUUGCAGUAUACAGUUUUUGGACACAAACCAAGCCCCAUUGAUGACCGCAAAAAAGUUAAUGGUGCAAUUUCAUAUUUUAGAUUAGCUAGGACACAUUAUGGUUAAUUGAUAAUUCCUAGAAAGUAUUUUAAUUCAUUGCAAGCAUUCGUGCGUUUUGGAUAAGAUAUGGUCAUCAAGCCAGGUGGCACGCAUCGUUUGGCAGAGACCACAGGCGUUGGAAUUUUUGCCUUAUGGUGUUUUUUCUAUUUUAACUUUUCAGUCCAAGUUUUGUAUAGUUGUGAGACCUUUUAGUUAGGGUAAGUGAAAAUAUCAUAAUCUCAAUUAUGAGUCUGAUGAAAAUAAUAUUUAUUUAAUAUUCUAAUAUUUAUUUGAUUUGAUUUUUAUUAGUUAUGUCAACUUAAUGUAUUAUUUAAAACAAUUUUAUACUUUAGUGGCAUUCCACAAUUGAUAUUCAAAAUUUAUUAAAUCAGAUUUUUUUUUUAAUUUCUUAACUACAAUUUUCAAAUAUAAAGAACUUUGAUUUAUUAAUUUCAAAGAUAUUAUUUUUUAAUAUUUAAAUAGUUAUAUAUUAAAAUAUAUUUUUUAAAUAUUAAAAUAAAAAUAUAUUGGAUAGACGUGAAUCAACUCAAGUUAAUUAUUUAAAUUCAUGAUCAAGGUUAUAAGACCGUUAUAAUCUUGUAAAAAUAUAAAACAAAUAAUCAUGUUCAAUCCAAAAGUAAUCUAAUGACGAAGAAUAAAAUUUAAAAUUAAAAUACUCAAUUAAAAAAGAGUUAACAAAAGAUCUAAGUGCACUCGAGUUAAUUUGCUAAAUCCGCGAUCCGGGUUAUUUAUUUAACUAGAUAUAAAAAAUUUAAAAAUAAAAAACAAACAUGUCAUGCGUGUGGGAUUAAAAAAUAAAAGGCAUUUAACUAACAAAGGGUUUUUUUUUUUUUUUAUCUUCAAGGGGGCUGAAAAUGCAUUAAGUUAAAAAAAAAAGCAUUUUUCAAAAAAUUAACAAUCCAUCCAGAGCAUGACCCACCCACGCACCUGAUCUAUAAAAAUAGGAAAUGAAAAUAAAAAUACUCAUUGAAAAAAAUCGUUUUAAAAAAAUAAGAAUGAGCUUGAGUUAACUUUUUAUAGUCGCUAUAAAGGUUAUAUAUUCCACUGAAUUUAAUAAUAUAUUAUUUAUUAUGUUAUUUUUCAUUUACUACACAACAAUUAAGGGCAAGAUUUUUUUUGUAUCAAAUAAAAAUAAAUAAAUAAAUAGAACAGGCGCGUGGGAUAAAACAAUGGCCUAUUUUUUGUAAGUUAAAUAAGAAAAAAUGGUUUUUUAUAAGCUAAUUAAAAAAUAAAUAAAAAAGAGGUCGUAUGUAUUACCUAAGGAAUGACCCCAAAAGCAUACCAAACAAAGUGAGUAUAUCAUGUGUAUAUCUAAGCAAUUCACUUAAUUUAAUUAAAAAAACAAAUUUUUUUUUAUGAAAAGCUAAAUUUAACAAAAAAACGACAAAAAAACAAAACCUGACCUAAGUCAUUUUUAAAAUUAGUAAAAAACCCCUAUAGACAACAAAUAAAAAAAACAAACUUAAUCUUGAAUUAAAUCAAAUAUUAAAGGAUAAAAUUAAAAAACAUGAGCUAAAAAAAAAAAAAUUCAACCAGAGCUAAUCUUCUAAAUCUAGGUUUAAUAAAUAAGUUUAAUUCAAUGUUGAAGGAUCAAAUAAAAAAAACAUCGUAAAUUUUAUUGUCAAAGCAAAAAAAGAAGCAAUAAAAAAAUGAAGGUGGAUGAAAUCGUAAAAAAAAUCAAUUUUAAAAUGAUCUCAAAUAAAACAAAUAGCACUAAAAAAAAUAGGUACCAGUUGAUAGAUUAAAAAAAAUUUAAAGGAGAAUGAAAUUGAAAAUAAAUUUUGAUUUUACAAAAUAAUCAAAUGAAAAAAAAAUCAAUUGAAAGAAUAAGGACCAAAUCAAAAAGAAAAAUAAAUUUAAUGGCUACUAUGAAAUUUUGGAAGGCUAGCAUGGAAAUCAAAUAGAAAAAUAAAGAAAGGAAUAGCCAACCGCGGCCAAACUGAAUGGACUUACAUCACACGUGCCGCCUAGGAAGGCAGGUCGCGUUAUAAUGAAUAAAAAAAAACCAAAGAAAACAAUUUUUGGUAGUUGUAAGCCGCAACACAUAUCACUUGAACACAACUGGGAGGCUUAUUCACUGGCGGCGUGUUCAACGAAUGCAUCAACCAUUUUUGCUUUUAUAUAUAAUAAUAAUAAUAAUAAUAAUAAUAAUAAAAGGAAAAGUAUGAAUUAGCUCUUAAGAGGCAAGGUUAGAAAAUUGUAAUUUCAAAAGCAAUAUAAUCAUUUUAUUGUCCUAUAAAAUAUAUAAAUCGUCCCUAAACCCAAGGAAAAUAGUUUUUUUUUUAAACAUUUAAGUAAUUAUAUUGUAUAAAAAAUUAAAAGCCCAAGAAGCCAAUGAUUAUUUUUAUAAUAAUCAAUUGAGCAUGUGAAAAGACUGCAUUCCUCUAAGAGAUAGGUAAAGUUUUUAGAUUGAGAAGGGCAAAAUAGUAAAUUCAUUACUAUAAUCCAUAAUAAUUCAACACAUAUCUAUAGUAAUUCUUCCAGGUUUAGGUUUUUGUUAAUUCUACAUGGAAAUCAGGAGUUGAUGUCUGAUAUAUUUUUUAGAACAUUAUAUAAUAUUUGAUUUCAAACAUGUUGUAAGCGAAAAUGGAAAAACGGGUAAAAGGGAGAAAAUUGACAUUGAAAUUGUGGGAUCGGAUAAUUGGUCUUUUCAAUGCAUUUUUCAAUUUUUUUAUAUAUAAAAUGCUUAAAAAACUGGAAAGACUGGAAAGAGAGUUUUGCACUUUCUUGGGCCAUGGUCCAGACAUGCUCAAACUUUGGAUAUGAAGACUUUUGGGCUUGAGUUUUAUAUAUAUAUAUAUAUAAUUAAAAAAAAUCAGAGAUUUCCUUGAGUUUAUUAUUCUAGAAAUCAACGCAAAAAAAUAAUUUGUCAAUUAUUGUUUUUUUAUAUAAAUAAAAAAACUGAAAUUAAUAUCUAAAAUUAUUAUAUAAUAAAAAAAAAACAAAGGGGUUAGAGAGUUUUAAUUUUACAUGUAUAGGAUCAAGAUAGGAAUAAUUUGAAAAUGAGACUAAUGAAGGAGAUUUUUUUUUCUAAAACUUUAUAUUAAUAAUAUAACUUUCAAUUUCACGGUUGAAUCAGCUAUAACUAUGUAAAAGAUUUCAAAAGCUUUGUAAAAAGUUCAUACCCGUCAGAGUUGAGAAGAGGACCAAAAAUUGUGACCGUUCUUGUUCCAACUGUGGGUUCGACAUGGCUGAUCAUUAGCAUAUUUGGUUAUUUGUGGCUCAGGAACAGAGGAGAAAAAGGCAAAGACAAAGCAAGCAUCAAAACAGAAGGUAGAUAGAGUAACUAUCCAUAAAAGAAUAGUUGACGAACACCACACCUAUAGCAUUCCAUAUGAUGAUGCUGUUAGGUUUCUUCCUUGACACUAGGCAGAAUGGAUCAGUUGUUUAGAAUCAGGUUGGGAGUCUUAGCAGUGCUGAAGAGCUUCAUCUGUUGUGAUGUACAGCAUAUUUGUUUUCAUUACAAAUCUAAUGAAACUUCAUAUCAGCAAUUAUUCAGACAGUACAGCUUCAGCGACUAGCAAUUUCAGAAAUUGUCACCUCAUUUACAGAACACUGUCCAUCUUCUACCUCUAAUGCUAUAUCAGGAUUAUUGUCAGAUUUUCUAAAGAGGAAUGCAGGUUGUUUUGGGGAAGGAAUCUCUGUUUCGUUACUCAACAUAAAAACAACCGCUAACAUAGAUGGUCUGUCCGCGGCAUCUUCUUGCACGCACAGUAGACCAAUUUGUAUGCAUUUCAAGGCUUCACGCGGAUCAUACAACUCCGCCAGUGAUGGAUCCACUAUCUCCAAUGCUUUGUCUUGUUUCCAUAAUUCCCACACCUGUGGUGUUCAUAUAAAUCAUUAACAUACAAGAAAUAAGAGCAGACAACAUCUAAAAUUGUGAUCAUUGAAAUUCAGCCAACAGCACACAUGGCUCUCCUAUAACUCACAUAUCCAAUCAAGGUCAAAGGAGGAUCCUGUUGAUAAAAUCUAUUGUUCUUCUUGCCACUCACAAUCUCUAGCAACACGACCCCAAAACUGAAAACAUUUGAUUUUACAGAAAAGUUUCCAAGCACAGCAUAUUCUGGUGACAUAUAGCCACUGCAUCAGAAAAACAAGAAUCUGAAGUUUUAGUAUUCCUGGUAAUCAAUGAUAGUACUUUGUCACUCGGUCUUUGUUUUAGGCAAAGGUACUUACAAUGUUCCUACAACUCUCCUGGUCCUAUCUUCUGUUUGGUUGCCUUCAAAUAUUUUUGCCAUUCCGAAAUCUGAUAUUUUUGGGUUCAUCUCUGCAUCCAGUAGAAUGUUGCUGCAUUUUAAAUCCCUGUGAAUGAUUCUCAACCUGGAAUCUUGGUGAAGAUAUAAAAUCCCACGAGCUAUUCCAACAAUAAUAUCAAAGCGAUUUCGCCAAUCCAAUAACAAUCUUCUGCUUUCAUCUGUCGAAACAAUUAUUUUUCAGACAGGUAAAAUUUGACAACUAGAGUAAAUCAGGGCAAUAAAUACUUGAAGAGACUUACGGAAAAGAAACGAGUCCAAGCUUUUGUUUGGCAAGUAUUCAUAGAUUAAGAUUUGUUCUCCAUCCUGAUUGCAGUAACCUAGAAGUUUAACAAGAUUCCUGUGUUGAAGCUUUGCAAUUACCAUAACUUCAUUUUUAAAUUCUUCUGUUCCUUGUCCUGAACUUCUAGAUAACCUUUUUAUUGCAACCUCCAGUCCAUUAGCCAGCAGACCCUAAAAUCAUCUUACAAGAUUAAGCCUCUGGACUACAAUUAUGCAAAUUAGAGAGGCCAUUUAGUUUUUAGCUAAAUGCAAGAAACUCAACCUUAUAAACAGAGCCAAAACCACCUUGCCCGAGUUUGUUAGCAGCAGAGAAAUUGUUAGUGGCCGCCGUUAUGGUGCUGAGCUUGAAAUAUUCCAAUUCAGUAGAAGUGCUGUUUACCUGCAGUUCAUUACCUUUUUUUGCUCUCUUCUUGAGCCACAAAUAAGCAAACAGGCUAAUGAGAAACCACAAUAAUGCAAUUGAUGGUGCUAAAACGGCCAGCAUCGUUUUUUCACGAGAAUUAUUUGACUUCCUUGUAGUGUCAGCUGCAUGAGAGUGAAAAGAAAAAAGAUUAACUCUAUAGGAAAAACCACCCCAUUUUCCCACGGAAAUAUGACAACACAUAUGGCAAAGGGUAGCCCUUUUGGCACCUAAAACGCACCAAUAUCUAUGGUUUCUUUCCUGCAGUAAAGAGCUUAUUAACUACAGUCAAGUGCAGUGACUAGCAUAGGAAAGCUCAUAUAAAUCAAUAUUUGUAAUGACAAUCCUAUGAAGUAGUAACUGAGCAGAAAAAGGGUACCUAAUUCAUAUGCAUCAAUACGAACAUACAGAUCAUGACUUUCACUCAUAUCAUAUCUAAUGUCUACUAAUUCCUUGUACCAAUUCAAACAACCAUCCCCUUUUCCGGGAAUCACAAUGACUGCGUAUGCAGAGCAUGAACAAUUCCUCUUGCAUUCCAGUUCACAGUCUGCACGACUCUUGCUCAUGUCCACCCAAGCUGCAGCUGAAGUGUCCGGAAGAAUUACAUUUUCCACCUUCACAAACCCUUCUCCAUUCUGGCACACCGAAGACGUAUGUAGCCGCUUCCUGACACAACCACCGGACCCAUCUCUCGUAGACCAUUCUAAUGGGUACUUGGGCUCGAACCCAGGUAAACAGGCACAUCCAAAUUCAUUUACAUUGGCGAGUUCACACGUACUAUAAGCACCACAAUUUCCAUAAUAGUGGCAUUGAAACUGAGGGCACUUCCAGUAUUCCUUCCACCGACCAUCACUUUCUCGCCAUGUUAAAGCCUUUGCUACUCCUGAAUGAUCCACUAUUAUUCUUAGCAGAUAAGAAUCAUCAGGAACCGUGUAGAAAGAGUACUUUUCGUCUGGAUCAUUUACAAAAGUGCUUGUGUAUAGGCUCAUCUGAUUUCUCCAUGGCCAAGGGGGAGAUCUACUAAUUGGCUUUUUACCAUUAUAGUGAAAGAAUUGUGGCGAGCCAUUUGGGUUGAUCCUAAUUGAAAAGUCCCCGAACCCAGGGUCUUCAGCUGAUCUCCAUGAUGUUGGGAACCGAUCAAUUCCUAAUUUUCGAUCCAGCCCAAGUUUCAUUCCUGGAAGCAGGGUAUUCGUAGGAUAAUCGAAGCUUUGCCAUACAGUUUUUCUGCUUCUUUUCCUGACCAAUAUCAAAUUUCCUGAAUCCAAGAGUUGAGCUGCACAAGUAUCAUUUUCUUCCACUGAAACAUUUGUAGACCACACUGGAAGCUUUUGGUCAUCGUCACCAUAGAGAACGAGGUUUCCAUAUUGGUUUAUAAAGAGAAAUCCUGAGGAACCAAUGAUUGGAUCGUUCCUGUUUGCAACCCACACCACAGCUUGUUCUGGUAUUUUAUGGUACCAAAUUCCAAGAUAUCUAUUGGUUGAACUGCCAGGACUGAAAAAUCCUAGUGCGAAAAUAUUUCCUUCGGAGAUAAGAAGGUCACCUUCUUUAAUGGUUUGGUUGGUCUUUAAGGAGUCUUGGGAUGUACAAGAUGAGAAUUGGAGCAUUAAAAGAGAAAAAAGCAGGAACAGUUUUUCAGCUUCCAUGAUGGAGUAAACUGGAUCUUGGCUUCUGGAAAAGUGUUAGAUUUUGCCUUCAGAGUAGUCUCCAGAGAAGUUAUGUGACGGAAGUGGCUAUUUUGGGAUCCACUUCGCUUAACGUGGCAUCUCUUUCAACCUUCAGAUUUUUUGGAAACGAUACUGUCCUCUUGUUUUAGAAAUAUGUAGUAGGCUGUAGAAACAACAUAAAAAAAGACAACAAACACAAAGAAAGAUAGAAUUGUGUCGAAAAAUAUAUCAACCAUAAUAAUAAUUAUAAUUCAAACUUUUCGUACUCAAUAUUUUUCUAAUCAAAUUUAAAUAUCAAAGAUCUUCCGGACUAUUAUAUGUUAGGAAAAACACCCUAAACAAAGCUUAAAAAUUAAUAAAAUAUUUCUAAAAUAAAUAGAAAAAAAUCUAAAUCAACUUGAAAAAUAUAACGCUUUUAAAAUAGUAAUUUCUAAUACUAGUUUGGAGGCCUUAAAGAAAUUAAAUGACUCCAUAAAUCAUAUAAUUAAGAUUGUAAAAUUAAAAAAAAAUUAGUAAUGAUACUUUGUUGUUACAAUAUUUGAUGGGUAUGAUUAGUUUUAAAUCCAAAAACUAAACUAUUUAAAUUUUUUUUAUUUGAUCAAGCUAACUUUCAGUUUUUUAUUUAGUUUUUCCAAUUAUAUCAUUCAUUCAUCUAGUUGAAUUGAUUUUGUUUUUCAUAAUAAGGAGUUUUAGAAGGACUAAACUGCAUAAAUGUUAAGGGUGCAAUUUCAUAUUUUAGAUUAGGACACAUUAUGCUUAAUUCCAUAUUCCUGAGAAAGUAUUUUAAUUCAUUGCAGACAUUGGUGCGUUUUGGAUAAGAUAUUGUCAUCUAGCCAGGUGUAGGAAUUUUGCCAUAUGGUGUUUUUUUCUGUUCUAGCUUUUCAGUCCAAGUUUUGUGUGGUUGUGAGACCUUUUACUUAGGGUAAGUGAAAAUAUUAUAAUCUCAAUUAUGAGUCUGAUGAAAAUAAUAUUUAUUUAAUUUUGUUUUUAUUAGUUAUUCAACUUAAUUUGUUUUAUACUUUAGAGGAUUCCAUAAUUGAAAUUCAAAAUUUAUUAAAUCAGAUUUAUUUUAUUGUUUAACUACAAUUUUCAAAUUUAAGAAAAUUUGAUUUUUUAAUUUCCCUAUGCACUGCAUCACUUGAAGUCUUUAGGGUUUAGUUUCAAGUGGCAGUGUGAGAAGAUAAGCUGAUACAAGCAUCAAAACUAACAAAUAUCUAUCGGACAACACUGUUUUUUAAGCACUGAUAUCGUGUUUUUUUAAGGAAAAACAAAAUCAAUCAUUAAUGCUUAAUGUAAUAUUCAAGGCAUGUUGGAAGAUACAGUUUUUUUCUAAAUUAAAAUAGUAAUAUAUUAUAAUUUAUUUUUAAAACAUUAAAAUAAUAACAUAUUAAAUAAAACAAUAUAAACUUAAGUCAAUUAUUAAAAUUUGCUAUCAAGGUUAGAAAAUUACGAAAAUCCCAUAAAAAAUAAAACAAAUAAUUAUAUUCAAUCCAAAAGCAAUCAUAUAAUAAAAAAUAAAAUUCAAAAUGAAAAUACUCAAUUAAAAAAAGUUAAAAAAAUUUAAGCAAUCCUAAGUUAAUUUGUUAAACAUGCGAUCCGGAUUAUCUAUUCCACUAAACUUAAUAAUUUUUUAUAUCUUAAAUUAUUUUACAUUUAAUUACACAACAACAAAAAUUAAAAAUAAAGAACAAACGUGACAUGCAUGCAUGUGAGAUUGAAAAAAAAAGACAUUUAACUAACAAAAGUUAAAGUGCAUUCAUUAAAAAAAAAUUAAAGCAAUUUUCAAAACAUUUACAAUUGUCCAGGAGCAUGACCUAUAUAAAUAGAAAUUAAAAAUAAAAAUAUUUAAUGAAAAAAAAAGUUUUAAAAAGAUAGAAAUAAAACUGAGUUAAAUACCUUUGAUUUGUGUCAUACAUCCUAUUGAAUUUAAUAAUAUAUUAUUUAUUAAGUUAUUUUUCAUUUUGUUACACAAGAAUCAAGGAUACAAGAUUUUUUUGUAUCAAAUAAUAAUAAUAAUAAUAAUAAAAAAAAAAGCAAACAGGACAAGCGUGUGCCAAUGGCCUAUUUUUUAAAGUUAAAUAAGAAAAAAUAGUUUUUUAUAAGCCAAUUAAAAAAGAAAAAAAAAGAGAGGUUGCAUGCAUUACCUAAGUAAUGAUUCCAAAAACAUACCAAAUAAAAUAUCAUUAAGUGAGUAUAUUAUGUUUAUUUCUAAGCAAUUCACUUAAUUUAAUUAAAAAGUUAAAAAAAAAUUAAGAAAAGCUAAAUUUAACAAAGAGUGACAAAAAAAAUCCAAGAUAACCCAAGUCAUUUUUAAAAUCAACAAAAAAAUCUUAUAAAUAGGGAAUAAAAAAAUAAAACUCAAUCUCCAAUUAAAUCAAAUAUUAAAUAAUAAGAUUAAAAAAAGCAAAAAAAAAUUAACCAGAGCAAAUCUUAUAAACCUAGGUUAAUUUCUCAAAUUGAUAACCUAUUAAAUCCUAAAUCUAGACUCAAUAAAGAAGCUCAAUUUAAUGUUAAAGAAUGAGAUAAAAAAACAUCAUAAAAAAAUUUGUAAAAGAAAAAAAAGUAGAAAUAAGAAAAUAGAGGAUAAAAUCGUAAAAAAAAAAUUAAUUUUAAAAAUAAUCUCAAAUAAAAAAAAUAGCAUAAAAAAUGAGUAUCAGAUUUGAUGGAUCUAAUAAAAUUUAAAGAAGAAUGAAAUUAAAAUUAAAUUUUAAUUUUACAAAAUAAUAAAAAAAAAACCAAUUAAAAAAAUAAGAAUCAAAUCAAAAGAAAAAACAAAAUUAAUGGCGAUUGUGAGAUUUUAGAAAGCUAGUGUGGAAAUAAAUAAAAAAAGAAGAAGAAGAAAAGUCAGUUGGGGCCAAACUGAAUGGAUAUAGAUCACACAUGUUGUUUAGGGAGGUGGGUCGCUCUAUGAUGAAUCAAAAAACACUAAAGACUGCACAUACCGCUUAAACACGACGGGAAGACUUACUCACUAGAAUAUUCAACUAAUGCAUCAAUCACUUUUGCUUUUAUAUAUAUAUAUAUUAAAAAACUAAAUUGCCUCAAAGACUACAUCAUAAUAAUAAUAAAAAAAAAAGGAAGGAAAGUACGAAUUAACUCACAGGCAAUGUUAGAGGAUUUUGAUUUCAAGUACACGCUAUAAAAUAUAAAAUAUAAAAAAUACCUCUAAACAUGAGGAACAUCGAUUUUUAUUUUUAUUUUUAAAGGUAUUUAAAUAAUUAUACUAUAUAAAACAAUAAAAAAAACAAGAUUCUCAUGAUUAAUUUUAUAUAAUCAAUUGAGCAUGUGAAAAAGACAGCAUUACUCUUAAAUAUUUGUUCCAUUGUUUUCUGCCGCUUUAAAAUAUUUGUUCCGACUGUCUUGAGGAAAGGCAUUCACUAUCGUUUUCCCAUCAUUGAGUAAUUUUUCAUUACAAAUCUAAUGGAACUUCAUAUUAGCAAUUUUUCAGACAGCACAGCUUCAGCGACAAGCGAAUUCAGUAAUUGUCACCUCAUUUACAGAACACUGUCCAUCUUCUACAUCUAAUGCUAUAUCAGGAAAUUUAUCAGAUUUUCUAAAGAGGAAUGCAGGUUGUUUUGGAGAAGGAAUCUCUGUUUCACUACUCAACAUAAAAACAAUCGCCAACAUAGAUGGUCUGCCCGUGGCAUCUUCUUGCACGCACAGUAAACCGAUUUGUAUGCAUUUCAAGGCUUCACGCGGAUGAUACAACUCCUUCAGUGAUGCAUCCACUAUUAAUCUUAGCAGAUAAGAAUCAUCAGGAACUGUGCAGACACAGUACUUUUCGUCUGGAUCAUUUACAAAAGUGCAUUUGUAUAAGCCCAUCUGACUUCUCCAUGGCCAAGGGCGAGAUCUAAUAAUUGGCUUUGUACCAUUAUAGACAAAGAAUUGUGGCGAGCCAUUUGGGUUGAUCCUAACUGAAAAGUCCCCAAACCCAGGGUCUUCAGCUGAUCUCCAUGAUGUUAGGAACCGAUCAAUUCCUAAUUUUCGAUCCAGCCCCAGUUUCAUCCCAGGAAGCAGGAUGUUAGUAGGAUAAUCGAAGCCUUGCCAUACAAUUUUCCUGCUUCUUUUCCUGACCAAAAUCAAAUUUCCUCAUGAAUCCAAGAGUUGAUCUGCACAAGUAUCAUUUUCUUCCACUGAAACAUUGGUAGACCACACUAGAAGCUUUUGGUCAUCGUUGCCAUAGAGAACGAGGUUUUCUCAAAUAGCUGCGGUCUUGUUUAUGGUUGUAUAUUCCUUCAUUAGCAUUCCUUAAAUAGCCAUAGUCUUGUAUUAUAUAUUGACAUUGUUGUAAUGCAAUACAUAUUGAGUUUUUUACCAAAUUACUUGUGCAAUCCUUUUAUGGUAUCAGAGCAGGACACGGUGUAGCAGUAGACUGAAGAGCAGAAAGCGUAGGGAAAAAUAUUUUCAUCAAAAGUGACAUGAUGAGAGAGAUAAAUCUUACCUGUAAGGCAUGUUGAGUUAGGGAGUACCCGAGAAAGACACAAGGUUGGGAUUUAGAUGGAAAUUUAUUUGCACAAUAGGGAACAAGCCAAGGGUAGCAUUGAAAAUCAAAUGUGCGCAACUUAUGAUAGUCAGGAACCUGUCCAAAUAAUACUUCAAAGGGACUUCGACGUGAGUGUAAGAUAGUGAGGAGGCGAUUAAUAAGAUAAAAUGCCGUGGCCAAAACAUAUGACUAAUAAGUUGAAGGAGCUAAGGCAUGAUGUAAAAGGUUCAUACCCAUUUUGACAUUAUGUUGAUGGUGAUGUUAAACGAUGCCAUUUUGUUGGGGAGUAUGCAGUGCAGUGGUAAAAUGGCUAAUACCACGAGCAGCAAGAAUAGGUAUAAGUUUGAUAAAUUUACCAUCGUUGUUGGAAUAAAUUUUUUUAAUUUUCCCAGAGAAUUAUUUUCAACCAUAGUGGUAAAGUGAACAAAAAUAGAAAACACAUCCGACUUGUUAUGCAUAGGAAAGAACCAGCAGUACUUGGUGAAAUGAUCAACAAAAAGUACAUAAUAGCAUUAGCCAUCAACAGAGGGAACCGAGGAUGGUCCCUAAACAUCGGCAUACAAAUAUUCAAGAGGAUUAUGACUCGUAAGGGAAAUGACACUAAAAGACAAUUUAUGCGACUUAUUGCACUAACACGAAACACAGGACAAUAAAGACUUAGAGGGGGACAUAAGUAAGUUGUAACUACAAAGAAGAGAGGACAAGAGUUUGGAACCAGGGUGACCCAGUCUAUGAUGCCAACAAUCAAAGGAGGCACGAGUUCUAGCCAAGGUGAUGGCAUGGGCUUGAGAUGAGGAAGGACAUAGUUCCACAGGAUAAACACCAUCUUCAUACCUACUGUGCAUGAGCACCACUACCGUUAUCGGAUAUUUCACAAGGUAAAAAAAAGGGUAAAAUUCAAUAACAACAUUAUUAUUAUGAGUAAACUUAUGAACUGAGAUCAAGUUUUUGUUAAUAAGGGGCACAUGCAGGGUUUCUUUUAAAAUAAGAGAGUGGGAAGGGGAGGAAACAGUAGUGGAACCAAUAUUAGCAACAUGCAAACAUAUACCAUCUUCAAGGACCACCUCAUUUUAUCCAUCAUGGUCAGAAUGAAUGGAGAGAUUAGCCAAAUCAGACGUAAAAUUAUGAGAAGCAGCGGAAUAAAGAAGCCAUUUAGCAUUCCAAAGAAGUAGUGUAAUUGGCAAUAGGUAGAGACUGCAAUUUGACAUAAUUCUUUGCAGUGUGACCAGGAUGAUCAUAUAUUUGGCACACAAUAGAGGUCCUCUUUAAAGGAGAUGUUUGGAGAAAUUUUGUUUGAAACGAUUCUUGUUAUUUUUUAACCGAGGAUUCAACCUCCGUUAAGAGGUAUUAGCAGUGACAGCCAGGGUUGAAGAUUUGCCAUCCAUGCGUUUGAGGUAGUGUUCAUGACCAAUUAACAGAUAAUGCAAUUUUGCAAAAGACAAGGUAGUUUCUCUCGGGCGUAUGUAUAGGAGCCACCAUAUCUCGAAACUCAGAGCUAAGGCCAUUAAGCACAUAUAAUAUCAAAUCAUCAUCUGAAAUGGGUGCAUCAAUCAACGAGAGUUCAUCAGCAAUUACCUUGACUGCUUGAAGAAACUCAAAUAUCGUGCGAGAACCCCAUUGAAUAAGGGUAAGAUCUUCUUUCAACUGUAUAAUCCUGGCCUAAGAUUUGCUAGCGAACAAGCGGGUGAGAUGUCAUAGUAAUAAGGGAUACAACUGCUUCAGAAAUAGAAGCAAAAAUAACAUUCAGCAACAACAGGUCCUGUCUAUACCACAUGGAGUGCCGCAGUAGAGGUAGAAGAGUUUGUAUUAGGUUUAGGAGGGCAUCAAAGAGUGUCGUCCAAAUAUUUCAUUAGAUCAUAUCCAAUAAGAACGGUGAGGAAAGUUGCACGCUAGGAAGGAUAAUUUGAGGAUGUGAGUUUGUAGGGCAAUUGGGUGGAAGUGUUGAUAGUAAUGAGAGGGAAUGGAGACACAAAGUUAGAGCCAGCAGGCUCUGAGAGAGGAGUAAGGUUUUCACUAGCCGAUAUGGAGUUAAAGGGCGUUUCUAAUCUGUGAGAGAAGGAUGCUCUGAUACCAUGUCAAAGAACCAUCUCAACCCAAUAGCUUAAACUGUUAGGUGAGGUCCCAAUAUUUGAUUUAUAUUAUUCUCUAACACACCCCCUCAAGUGAAAGCCCUUUGGGCUUGAAACUUGCACAGACCCACAUUACUUUGUGCUUGAUUUUUAUCAAAUAAAUAGGGGUGGUGAGAUUCGAAUUUGUGAUUACUUGGUCAUCAAGGCUCUGAUCUUACCAUCACAUCUCCAUCACUUAAUGCUACAACAAUCGUGACUCUAUCCCCUACACCAGGUAUGGCUUCCUCUUCUCCUACUAGUAAUUCAUCCUGCUCUGCAUCUCCUCUGCCCGGAGCACCUGUACCACCUACUCGCACUCAUCCUAUGGUCACUCUGGCUCAAAAUAGUAUUUUCUGUCCUAAACAGCUUUCAGUUACUACCAAGCACCCUCUUGCCCCACCAUUGGAACCAACUUGUGUCUCUUAGGCUCUCAAGGACCCCCGGUGGCAUAAGGCCAUGACAAAUGAAUUUACUACCUUAGUCUCAUAUUGCACUUGGAAUCUGGUCCCUCGACCCUUUGCUUCCAAUUUAAUUGGUUGUAAAUGGGUGUUUCAGAUUAAACUUCAUCCAAACAGUAUAGUGGAUCGGUUUAAGGCACGUUUUGUAGCUAAGAGGUUCAAUCAGCACCCGAGUUUCGACUAUACUGAGACCUUCAGUCCAGUUAUCAAACCAACCACCAUUUGCCUCAUCCUCUCACUAGCUUUAUCAAAUAACUGGCCUCUCAAGCAACUAGAUGUUAAUAAGCGUUUCUUCAUGGUAAGUUAACUGAGCAAGUGUUUAUGCAUCAACCUGUCGACUUUAUUGAUCAGUCCUAUCCUCAUCAUGUUUGUUUAUCUUCAGAAGUCUAUUUAUGGUCUCAAGCAGACGCCUAGAGCCUGGUACAAUGCAUUACGCUCACACCUUCUUGCAUUGGGUUUUCUUAAUUCGAAGUCUGACAACUCCUUAUUUUCGAUUAGGAUGGCAUUCUACUUUAUGUGUUGGUGUACAUUGAUGAUUUAAUUCCCACAUGCAAUAACAGUACAUUUUUACAGUCAAUCGUCUUGCUUAGUUUAUGCACAAACCAAUGGUAAUGCACUGGCAACAUGUUAAACGGCUCUUGCAUUAUGUCAAACAGACGAUUCAUUUCGGUCUCUUGUUGCGUCGCCAAUCAAACGCAGUGCUUCGGGGGUUCUCUGAAUAAAGUCUUUUCUUGAUGAACUUGGUCUCACGUUACGUGAACUACCACUCCUACUUUGUGAUAAUAUUAGUGCCACCCAGCAUAGUCUCAAUCUUGUUAUGCAAUCCAAGAUGAAAUAUAUCGCUAUUGAUCUUCACUUUAUCUGUGACUUUUUUUAUCGUGGCAAACUGCGUGUUGCCAAUGAAAUUCUGGCAAUAUGCCUUCUAGUCAGCCACUUUUCUCAUUAACAGAAUGCCAAGCAAGGUACUCAAUAAUGACUCACCCUAUUACACUUUUUUUCACAAAAUUCCUGACUACAAAUCUCUUAGAGUGUUUGGUUGCUUGUGUUACCCAUUUAUUCGUCCUUACAACAAUCACAAGUUGCAGUACCGAUCUGUUCAGUGUAUUUUUCUUGGGUAUAACUUCAAUAACAAAGGAUAUUUGUGUCUUGAUUCUUUGACUAGACGAGUAUAUGUCACACCUCAUGUUGUUUUUUAUGAAACACAAUUUCUUUUCACUAAACCUACUUCUCUUUCCCUAACCAAUGAUACUCCAGCAGAGAUCCUCACUCUAGCUAUUUUACCUCUCUCUAAUUCUUUAACUUCUACUAACAACAAUGACUCACCACCAUCUUCUUUCACCUUCACAAGUGACAAUUCACAUUCUUUGAGUAGUUCUACAACCACUCCUGUCUCUCAUUCUUUACCCGAGUCAAUUCAUGAGGAUCAGGCUCCCUGUUCUACUCUAGCUCCACGCAUGACCACAAGAUUGAUGCAUGGUAUAACCAAGAAAAAGACCAUUCUUUAUUUGUCAGCUACGAAGAUCUUAGAACCAUACACUCUCAACCAAGCCCUCAAAGAUCCAAACUGGACUCAAGCUAUAGAUUUAGAGAUAGCUGCUCUUCAUGGAAACCACACUUGAGAUCUUGUUGAACAUCCUUCUGAUGUUAAUAUAAUCGGUUGUAAGUGGGUGCACAAGUUGAAGCACAUGUCAGAUGGGAGCAUCGACAGGUAUAAAGCCAGGCAUGUGGCUAAAGGGUAUCAUUAAACUCUUGGUCUUGAUUAUUUUGAGACUCUUAGUCCGGUUGUUAAGGCUGCAACCAUCCGAAUCAUAUUAACUAUUGCACUCAGUGUUAAGUGGGAAAUUCAACAGUUUGAUGUUCAUAGCGCCUUCCUAAAUGGUGAGUUAAAGGAGCAAGUUUAUAUGUAUCAACCUCCUAGCUACGAGGACCCUAAAUUUCUAACCAAAGUGUGUAGAUUGAAGAAGGCUCUAUAUGAUUUGAAACAAGCUCCACCAGCUUGGUUUCAAAGGCUCAGCUCUACUCUUUUACAAUGAGGAUUCAACAACUCUAGGACAAACAAUUCAAUGUUUCUUCAUUUUGGUGAAUCCACAACAUUGCUAGUUCUUAUAUAUGUGGAUGAUAUACUUAUCACCGGCAGCUCACCCACACAGAUUUCUUCACUCAUUACUAAACUUGAUUCUGUCUUUGCAUUACGAGACUUGGGGCGGCUCUUUUAUUUUCUAGGUAUGGAGGUCUCUUACAAUGAAGGCUCUAUGCAUUUAAGCCAGACAAAAUAUACCUUUGAUCUACUGCAUAGGACAACAAUGUUUGAUACCAAACCUGCCAAAACCCCUGGUGCUGUUGGACAAAAUUUAUCCAGGAUUGAUGGUGAUCCUAUGGAAGAGGUCACUCAAUAUCGUAGUAUAGUAGGGGCACUUCAGUAUCUUACAAUCACAAGGCCUUACAUCACUUUUGCUAUUAAUAAGGCAUGCCAAUUCAUGCAACAGCCAACCACAGCUCACUAGAUUUCUGUCAAAAGGAUUCUUCGGUAUCUAAGAGACACUUUGCAUGAUGGGUUAUUGUUAAGUCCUUCAAGCCAUUUGAUAGUAGAAGGUUUCACGGAUGCAGACUGGGGUGCUCAACCUGAUGAUUGGCGAAGUGCAAGUGGGUAUCUGGUUUAUCUAGGGGAUAACUUAGUCUCUUGGUCCUCUACUAAACAAAAAGUAGUGUCUCGCAGCAAUGCAGAAUCUGCAUAUCGAGGCCUUAUCUUAGCUAUUGCUGAAAUUGUUUAGAUGCAGGCUUUGCUGCAAGAACUAUGUGUCUCUGCCCCUACCAUUCCUCUCCUCUAGUAUGAUAUUAUUAUUGUUAUCAUAUGGUGAAGAAUCCUAUAUUACAUGCUCGAACAAAGCAUAUAGAAAUCAAUCUUCACUUCAUCUGUGACCAAGUUUUUUUGGGAAGUUACAGCUGCAAUUUGUUCCUACUGAAAAGCAGCCAACAGAUCUAUUGACUAAGCAUCUCCCAAGUUCAAGGUUCUCGCUCCUCAGGUCACAGUUGUGCAUCGUUCCCAGACCCUUUCACUUAAGUGGGAUGAUAAACCAAAGCUAGAAUCUGUUUACAGUUGGUUACAUAACAGUGUUACUGUUUGUUAUAACUGCUAGAAUCUGUUUACAGUUGGUUUACGGUUAUGCCAGCUGUCAUGACAGUUUGCUUCUUCUUCUUCUUGUAAAACAACUGUAUAUAUAUGGUUUAAUCUCUGACCUUAGUGAUAAGGAAAAUCAGAGAUUCAUAUUCUCAAAUUCUAUCUGUUUGGUUGGUCUUUAAGGAGUCUUGGGAUGUACAAGAUGAGAAAUGGAGCUUUAUAAGAGAAAAAAGCAGGAACAGUUUUCCAGUUUCCACGACGGAGUAAACUGAUUAUUUAAGAUGAUAGUUUUCAAUUAAGAAAGAAUAUUAAUUUGGUGUUGAUCGAUAUUGAUGUUGACACUUUUGUUAUACUUAAAAUUAGAAUCAAUAUUCACAACAUAUAUUUAGCAGAGUAAUUGGCCAUAUUGUGAUUCAAAGAUAUUGUGAAUAUCACAAUACAUGACUUUAUUCUUAGUUUAUUGUGCAUGUUAUGAGAUAAAUUGAAAUUGAUUUGUCCUCCAAAAUCAUAAAUCAUAUAAUUGAGAUAUUAGUAAUGGUACUUUGUUGUUACUAAUCUUAAAAAGGGAAAGAAUUGAUACAUGUGCUAUGGCGGACGUGAUAAGUUUUAAAUCCAUAAAACAACCAUAAUUUUUUUUUUUUGUAUUUAAUUUUUUCAAUCAUUAUUCAUCUAGUUGAAUUGAUUUUUUUUAAUUAAGGAUUUGUACAAGGUGUAAAUUACAUAAAUGUUAAGGGUGUAAUUUCAUAUUUUAGAUUAGGACACAUUAUGCUUAAUUUCAUAUUAUGCAUCAAAACUAACCGACAAAACUGUUUUUUAAGUAUUGAUAUUGUGUUUUUCAAAGGAAAAAAUCAAUCAUUAAUAUAAUAUUCGAGACAUAUUAAAAGAUAAUAUUUUUUAAUAUUCAAAUAGUAAUAUAUUAAAAUUUAUUUUUUAAAUAUUAAAAUAACAAUAUAUUGAAUAGAUGUCAAUUAACACGAAUCAAUUAUUUAAAUUGUUAUAAGACCACAACAACCUUAUAAAAAAAUUAAACAAAUAAUUAUGUUCAAUCAAAAAACAAUUCAAUAAUGAAAAAUAAAAUUUAAAAUUAAAAUACUUAAUUAAAAAGAGUUAAAAAAAAUCCAAAAAAACCCGAAUCAAUUUGUAUUUCACUAGAUUUAAUAACUUUUUUUUCUCUUAAAUUAUUUUGUAUUUAAUUAUACAAUAAAAAAAAUCUAAAAAUAAAGAAAAAACAUGACAUGCAUGUGGAAUUAAAAGAAAAAAGGCAUUUAACUAACAAUCUAGUCAUUCAUUCCACUGAAUUUAAUAAAAUAUUUUUCAUUUUGUUACACAACAAUCAAGGAUGCUUUUCUGUAUCAAAUGAAAAAAAAAAAAAUAAGAACAGCCGCAUGGGACAAAACAAUGGCCUAUUUUUUUAUGUUAAAUAAGAAAAAAUAGUUUUCUAUAAGCUAAUUAAAAAUAAAAAAUAAAAAGAGGUUGUAUACAUUGAACUCAUACCAAAUAAAAUAUCAUAAAGUGAAUAUAUUAUAUUUAUAUCUAAGCAAUUCACUUGAUCUAACUAAAAAAACAAAAUUUUUUGUUCUAAGAAAAACUAAAUUUAACAAAGAAAAAUUAAAAAAAAAACCCGAGAGCUUCAAAAAAAAAAAAAAACAAAUCUUCAAAAUUUAGAUUAAUUUCUUAAAUUUAUAACUUAUUAAAUCCUAGAUUUAGACUCAAUAAAAAAUUUUAAUUCAAUAUUAAAAAAUAAAAUAAAAUAAAACAUCUUAAAAAAAAAUUAUCAAAGCAAUAAAAGUAACAAUAAAAAAAUACUGACCGUUCUUGAUCCAACUGUGGGUUCAACAUGGCUGAUCAUUAGCAUAUUUGGUUAUUUGUGGCUCAGGAACAGAGGAGAAAAAGGCAAAGACAAAGCAAGCAUCAAAACAGAAGGUAGAUAGAGUAACUAUCCAUAAAAGAAUAGUUGACGAACACCACACCUAUAGCAUAACAUACGAUGAUGCUGUUAGGUUUCUUCCUUGACACUAGGCAGAAAGGAUCAGUUGUUUAGAAUCAGGUUGGGAAUUUUAGCAGUGGGUACAUCGAGUGGAGAAAAGCUUGAUCUGUAGACUGUCUUGAGGAAAGGCAUUGACUAGCGUUUUCCCAUAAUUGAAAUUGCUACUAAUUAAGAUACUUGGAUGGAAAACGAGCCUUGAAAACAACAAAUCUUAGCCCUCCAAACAACCAUUAUAAAUAUUAUAUAAAUAAAAUAUUAAAAGAAAAGGACUACUUAUUUGAAAGCUAGUACAGUUCUAAAUUCUUCUGUUCCUUGUCCUGAACUUCUAGAUAACCUUUUUAUUGCAACCUCCAUUCCAUUAGGUAGCAGACCCUAAAAUCAUGUUACAAGAUUAAGCCUCUGAAUUACAAUUAUGCAAAUUAGAGAAAAACAAAUCUGUAGUAUUGAGAAGCCAUUUAGUUUUUAGCUAAAUGCAAGAAACUCAACCUUAUAAACAGAGCCAAAACCACCUUGCCCGAGUUUGUUAGAUGGAGCGAAAUCGUUAGUGGCCGCCGUUAUGGUGCUGAGCUUGAAAUAUUCGAAUUCAGUUGAAGUGCUGUUUACCUGCAGUUCAGUACCUUUUUUUGCUCUCUUCUUGAGCCGCAAAUAAGCAGUUAGGCUAAUGAGAAACCACAAUAAUGCAAUUGAUGGUGCUAAAAGGCCAUCAUCGGUUUUUCACGAGAAUCAUUCGACUUCCUUGUAGUGUCAGCUGCAUGAGAGUGAAAAGAAUAAAUAUUAACUCUAUAGGAAAAACCACCCCAUUUUCCAAUGGAAAUAUGGCAAAGGGUAGCCCUUUUGGCACCUAAAACGUACCAAUAUCUAUGGUUUCUUUCCUGCAGUAAAGAGCUUAUUAACUACAGUCCAGAGGAGUGAGAAGCAUAGGAAAGCUCUUAUAAAUCAAUAUUUGUAAUGACAAUCCUAUGAAGUAGUUACUGAGCAGAAAAAGGGUACCUAAUUCAUAUGCAUCAACACGAACAUACAGAUCAUGACUUUCACUCCUAACAUAAUUAAUGUCUACUAAUUCCUUGUACCAUGUCAAACAACCAUAAUUUUUUCCGGGAAUUGCAAUGAUUGCGUAUGCAGAACAUGAGCAAUUCCUCUUGCAUUGCACUUCGCAGUCUGCAAGACUCUUGCUCAUAUCCACCCAAACUGCAGCUGAACUUUCCGGAAGAAUUACAUUUUCCACCUUCACAAACCCUUCACCAUGCUGGCACACCGAAGACGUAUGUAGCCGCUUCCUGACACAACAACCGGACCCAUCUCUCGCAGACCAUUCCAAUGGGUACUUGGGCUCGAACCCAGGUAGACAGGCACAUCCAAAUUCAUUUAGAUUGGCGAGUUCACACGUACUAUAAGCACCACAAUUUCCAUAAUAGUCGCAGUGAAACUGAGGGGACUUCCAGUAUUCCUUCCACUGACCAUCACUUUCUCGCCAUGUUAAAGUCUUUACAUGUCCUGGAUGAUCCACUAUUAAUCUUAGCAGAUAAGAAUCAUCAGGAACUGUGAAGACCCAGUAUAUUUCAUCUGGAUCAUUUACAAAAGUGCUGUUGAAUAAGCCCAUUUGACUUCUCCAUGGCCAAGGAGGAGAUCUACUAAUUGGCUUUGUACCAUUAUAGAAAAAGAUUUGCGGUGAGCCAUUUGGGUUGAUCCUAAGUGAAAAGUCCCCGAACCCAGGGUCAUCAGCUGAUCUCCAUGAUUUUAGGAACCGAUCACUUCCUAAUUUUCGAUCCAGCCCCAGUUUCAUUCCAGGAAGCAGGAUGUUCGUAGGAUAAUCGAAGCUUUGCCAUACAGUUUUUCUGCUUCUUUUCCUGACCAAUAUCAAAUUUCCUGAAUCCAAGAGUUGAGCUGCACAAGUAUCAUUUUCUUCCACUGAAACAUUUGUAGACCACACAGGAAGCUUUUGGUCAUCUUUCCCAUGGAGAACGAGGUUUCCAUAUUGGUCUAUAAAGAGAAAUCCAGAGGAACCAAUGAUUGGAUCGUUCCUGUUCGCAACCCACACCACAGUUUGUUCUGGUACUUUAUGGUACCAAAUUCCAAGAUAUCUAUUGCUAGAACUCCCUAGACCGAAAAAUCCCAGUGCGAAAUUAUUUCCUUUGGAGAUAAGAAGGUCACCUUCUUUAAUGGUUUGGUUCGUCUUUAAGGAGUCGUGGGAUGUACAAGAUGAGAAUUGGAGCAUUAAAAGAGAAAAAAGCAGGAACAGUUUUUCAGCUUCCAUUAUUGGGAAAUUGGAUCUUGGCUUUUGUACAAUUUGAAUGUUGCGUUGUGGAGAAAGGAGAAGGUCUUCAGACAAGUGUGGGACCAUUAGAGAAAUUACGUGAAAAAAGUGGUUAUUGUGGGAUUUUUGUUUUAUGGGUUGGCUGUUCGGAAAUGAAUAAUAAUUAUUUUCUAAAAUAUUUUUUUAUUAAAAAUAUAUUAAAAUUAUUUUUAAUAUUAUUAUAUCAAAAUAUUUUAAAAAUAUAAAAAAUUAUUUUUAAACAAUUAUUUUUUAAAUUUUUUACAAAUCUCAAUUUAUACAUCAUUCCCAAAUGAGUUCAUCUUAUCCAUUGUAUACUUGUAGGUUACUCAAUUUUUUUUUUAUUUUAAGUUUGAUUUUAAUUUAUAAUAAACUAGGUUGAUAAUAUAUUAUAUUAUGGUUAUAUCUAAGAUUUUGGAUGAUUAUUUAAGACGUGAGUUCUCUAAUAUAUAUACCUCAAAUUUACUUUGUUUAUUUAGCUUUUUCAAUCAUCAUUCAUCUAGUUGAAUUGAUUUUUUUUUUCAAAAUAAGGAGUUUUACAAGGACACAUUAUGCUUAAUUCCAUAUUCCUGAGAAAGUAUUUUAAUUCAUUGCAAAAAAGUUAAGGGUGCAAUUUCAUAUUUUAGAUUAGCUAGGACACAUUAUGCUUAAUUGAUAAUUCCUAGAAAGUAUUUUAAUUCAUUGCAAGCAUUCGUGCGUUUUGGAUAAGAUAUGGUCAUCUAGCCAGGUGGCACGCAUCGUUUGGCAGAGACCACAGGGGAAUGAAUUUUUGCCUUGAGGUGUUUUUUCUAUUCUAGCUUAAUUUUCAGUCCAAGUUUUGUAUAGUUGUGAGACCUCUUACUUAGGGUAAGUGAAAAUAUCAUAAUCCCAAUUAUGAGUCUGAUGAAAAUAAUAUUUAUUUAAUAUUCUAAUAUUUAUUUGAUUUGAUUUUUAUUAGUUAUGUCAACUUAAUUUAUUAUUUAAACAAUUUUAUACUUUAGUGGCAUUCCAUAAUUGAUAUUUAAAAUUUAUUAAAUCAGAAUUAUUUUUAUUGUUUAACUACAAUUUUCAAAUUUAAGAAACUUUGAUUUAUUAAUUUCCCCAUGCACUGCAUCGCUUGAACUUUAGUCUUUAGGGUUUUCUUUCAAGUGGGCAGCAUGAGAAGAUACGCAUGAUACAAGCAUCAAAACUAACAAAUAUCCAUAGUUUUGAAACCCGGCCCGGCUCGGCGGGUCGACCCGGGUCUGUAGCCGGGCCGGGUCUAAGCAAAAACAUAGGCUGGGAAUUGACCCGGUGAGAUCUGGUCGACCCGGGACCCAGCCAGCCCGGGCAAACCUGGCUAAGACCUUGGUUUAUUAUAUAUAUAUAUAUAUAUAUAUAUAUAUAUAUAUAUAUUCAUGACCGAAACGACGUCAUUUUGACCUUUUACAAUUAAAAGACCAAAAUGAGAAGAGUAGAGGAACGAACGCAGUGCAGAAGACCUAAUUAAUUUCAAACCUAAUUUAAGAAAUCUUCAAACCCAUUUCAGUUGCGAAGAAAAGCAGAGGAGCAGAAGACUCUUGUAUCCUUGAUCGCUGUUUCAAAUCUGAGAAUAAGGUUAGAUGAGCUGUUGUUACUUGUUUUUUUCUUCUUUCGCUCUCUCUUUUCUAUAACAGUGGCAUAUCCUCUAUUUCAAAUUGAAACAUCUUUAAUCGCCCUUUGUUUUGAACUUGCAGGCUUGCAACUCCACAUAUAUGUAUCGCAUUUUCUCUGUUCUUUUAUUUUUAUUUUUCUGUGACUUCAAAUGAUCAAAUACCUGAACUUUAAUGUGAAUAUUGCUCAAACAUGGAAAAAAUGUGAUGAGAAAGCGCUUGACUUGCUAUUUUAUUUUACUGUGAAUUUUGUUUCACUAUUUGUUUGUUCUGCUUUUGCUUCUAUUCUACAGAUUAGUUGUUUUUGCUUCUGCUCGAGUGAUUGAAUUUUAUAUUCCUGUUUGUUCGUUCUGCUUUUGCUUCUGCAAAUUCCAAGGGCCUAAUCUUUCUUCUACAUGGGUUCAUGGUACUGGGUAGUGCUGGCAGGCUUAUUUGAUACGAGUCGAUUCUAGUACGAACUCAAAACUCGAGAGAGUAAAAAAAAAUGUACCAAUUUUUUCAGAUGAUGAUAUUAAUUUAUCACCUUUUUUCCCACAAUUUCUCCUUUAGUUUUUACCUGGAUUGGGCCCAAGGCAUUUCACAAAUCUGGAGAAGACAGGUGGAGAAUAUAAAAAUUAUCAGAGAAUUGAGCCACACCCCAACAAUGAUGAACAUGCAAGAUUCAAAGUUAUACAACCGUAUCAACCUUAUAAAAAAUUUAAAACAAAUAAUUAUGUUUAAUCUAAAAACAAUUCAACAAUGAAUAAUAAAAUUAAAAAUUAAAAAAUAAAAAAUAAUAAUAAAAAAAAAAUUCAAAUGAACCCAAGUCAAUUUAUUAAAUCCGCGAUCCGAGUUAUCUAUUCCACACUUAACAAUUUUUUUUUUCUCUUAAAUUAUUUUGCAUUUAAUUACACAACAAAAAAUCUAAAAAUAAAGAACAAACAUGACAUGCGUGUGGGAUUUAAAAAAAAAGCAUUUAACUAACAAAGGUUUUUUUAUUUUUUUAAUCUUCAGGGGAGCUGAAAAUGCAUUAAGUAAAAAAAAAUAGCAUUUUUCAAAAAAAUUAACAAUCCAUCCAAGGGCAUACAUCCCACUGAAUUUAAUACCAUAUUAUUUAUUAAGAUAUUUUUCAUUUUGUUAUACAUCAAUCAAGGAUGCAAGAUGUUUUUUUGUAUUAAAAAAACAAAAAAAAAACCAAAAAGAGGUCGAAUGCAUUAUCUAUGCAAUGACCACAAAAACAUACCAAAUAAAAUAUCAUGAAAUGAGCACAUUAUAUUUAUAUAUAAGCAAUUCACUUAAUUUAACUAGAAAAACAAAACUUUUUUUUUUUUAAGAAAAGCUAAAUUUAACAAAGAGCGACAAAAAAAGGACUCGAGAAAACCUAAGUCAUUUUUAAAAUCAGUAACAAAACCCUAUAGACAGUAAAUAAAAAAACAAAACUUAAUAUCUAAUUAAAUUAAAUGUUGAAGGAUGAAAUUAAAAAAAUAUGAGCUUAAAAAAAGAGCAAAAAAUGAAUCAAAGCAAAUAUUUUAAAUCUAAGUUAAUCUCCUAAAUUCAUAACCUAUUAAAUCUUAGAUUUAGACACAAUAAAAAAGCUCAAUUUAAUGUUGAAGGGUAAAAUAAAAUAAAAAACAUCAUAAUUUUUUUUUUCAAAGCAAAGAAAGUAGCAAUAAAAAAAUGAAGGUGGAUGAAAUCGUUAAAAAAAUAAAUUUUAAAAAUGAUCUCAAAUAAAACAAAUAGCAGUUAAAAGAAUGGAUACUAAAUUUGAUAGAUUAAGAAAAUUUAAAGGAUAAUAAAAUUGAAAAUAAUCAAAUGAUAGAAUAAGAAUUAAAUCGGAAGUAAAAAAAAUUAAUGGCUACUGUGAAUUUUUGAAAAGCUAGCGUGGAAAUUGAGGAGGGAAGAUAAAAAAAGAAAGAAAAAAGCCAAUCGGGGCUAAACUAAAUGGUAGUACGAAUUAACGAGGUAGGCUGCACUAUGAUGAAUCGAAAAACACUGAAGAAAGCUAUUUUUGGUAGUUGUAAGUCGUUGCACAUAUUGUUUAAACACAACAGGGAGGCUUAUUCACGGGCAUGUUCAACGAAUGCAUCAACUAUUUUUUUUUUCUUUAUAUUUAUUAAAAGACUAAAUUAAUCAAAUAACAACAACAACACCAAACAAAAGGAAAGUACGAAUUAACUCUUAGAGGCAAAGUUAGAAAAUUUUGAUUUCAAUGACAAUAUAAUUAUUUUACCGUGCUAUAAAAUAUAAAAUAUAAAAUAUAAAAAAUGAAACAUAGUUUUUUAAAAGCAUUUAAGUAAUUAUACUAUAUAAAAAAUAAAAAGACCAAGAAGCCCAUGAUUAAUUUUACAAUGACUAAUAGAGCAUGCAAAAAGACUUCAUUACCCCUAAGGGAUAGACAAAGUUUUUCUGUCGAGAGGGAAAAAAACACUAAAUUCACUACUAUAAUCCAUUAUAAUUCAACACAUAUCUAUAGUAAUUUUUCCAUGGGGUUUAGGUUUUUGUUAAUUCUACAUUGAAAUCAGGAAUUGAUGUAUUUAUAAUAAUCAUUUAACUGGCUUGGUGUGUGUGUGUGUGUGUAUAUAUAUAUAUAUAUAUAUAACAUUAUGAUAUUUGAUUUCAAACAUGUUGUAAGUGAAAAUGGAAAAACGGGUAAAAGGGAGAAAAUUGACAUUGAAAUUGUGGGAUCGGAUAAUUGGUCUUUUUCAAUGCAUUUUUCAAUUUUUUUAUAUAACUUGCUUUAAUAACUGGAAAGACUGGAAAAAGAGUUUUGCAUUUUCUUGCUUUAAUAAUUGGUCUUUUCCAGACAUGCUCAAAUUUUGGAUAUGAAGACUUUUGGGCUUUCCUUGAGUUUAUAUAUAUAUAUAUAUAUAUAUAUAUAUAUGUGUGUGUGUGUGUGUGUGUGUGUGUGUGUGUGUGUGUGUGUGUAUAUAAUUGCAAAAAAAAAAAAAAAGAGUAGAGAUUUCCUUGAGUUUAUUAUUCUAGAAAUAGAAAUCAAUGCAAAAAAUAAAUUUUCAAUUAUUGUUUUUUUAUAUAAAUUUUAAGAUGAAAAAAUUAAAAUUGAUAUAUAAAAUUAUUAUAAAUUUAAAAUGAAAAAAGCAAAUGGGUUGAAGAGUUUUAAUUUUACAUGCACAAGAUCAAGAUAAAAAUAAUUUGAACUCGAUGACGGAUUUUUUCUAACAAAAAAAAAUUAAUGAAGGAGAUUUUUUUUUUAAAUAUACAACAUUAUAUUAAUGAGCAUAAUUUUUGAUUUCACAGUUGGAUGAGGCUAUAAAUUUAACCUAAAAUAAAGUUGUAUUAAAAAAAAAAAUAGUCUACUACUUCAAUAAAAUAGCUUGAAAGAAAACACAAUUGGGACCAGUGGUUUUUCAAAAACACCAGCAUUUCCUUUCCAGUGGUACCUGUGCUAGUUUUUCAAUUUUAUUUAAAGGUACUAAGUUUAAAAAAAAAUCAGAAAAAAACACUGCAACAUAGUUCAAGAAAAAGAAAAAAAGGGAUCUGAACCAAAAAUUUAUUUAAACCUAACACACAAGAACAUAGCAACCAAUUGGUUUUAUGUUGACUGGCACGGUUUGAUCAAAGAAUUCUAGUCUUUACCAAAUUUAGUUAUGUAGAACUUUUUCCCAUAAUAAAUAUAAAGAGACUUAAUAUCAAGCCUCAAACCCACAGGUCAUGAAAUUAUUCUAUGUGCAUGCAAGAAAUCUUCACUACAAAAAUAGAAAUUAUAUUCAAAAUAAUACUCAGUUAAAUAAAAUACAUUGAAUCAUAAGUUAAUUAAGUCUAAUAUAAAUCUAACUUCAAAAAAAAAAAAGUACUUUAAAUAUAAAAUAAUAAACUAAUCUAAUUAUUUAAAUAUUAAAAUUUAGAAAUUAACUAUAAACUUUCAAAACAACUAUAUGAAAUUCUUAACAUUUACCAAAAUUAAAUAAGAGGUGAGUGUCACACACUAGAUAACAAUUCAUCUACUUAGAUGGACCAAACUUACAAAUUAGCGCAACCUCUUUCAUACAUUUUAUUGGGUUGUUCGAAGCUCCAGUCUAUUUCAGACUCGAUUACUUUUAACUCCAGGAGUGCCUUACCAUACCAUUAUAUCUUGAAUGGUCACUUACUGGGGAGGUUCUCCAUUGACUCGGCGUGAGAGGUUUUUAAAGAUUAUAGACCCAUAAACUCUAUGCACCAUCUUCUCUGGUUUCUAGGUUUCAUUUUGACACACUCUUUUAUCUUAUGGCUUGCCUCUAUAGGUUGACUUAACACCAUGGAUAAACUAUAUGUUUUUCAGAUCAUUACCUUUUUGGUAUGUAUCAUUUGUAGGUCGCAGGUUGAAACACAUGAAAAUUUUUUCUUUCACUGCUAUAAUUUAGGGUGCUAUCACGAGCAUGACCCUUAUGGUUUGACCGUUUUUGACAUGGUGUCAUCUACUUUAGUGGGCAUACAAGCACUUGAAAAAGAAGGAAUUUAUGUAUCUACUUGCUUGGUUAACCCUCUUAGCAUCAGUUUACUUCAUCUAGUAUAAGAGAAAUAACCGAGUCUUUUAUUAGAUUUACCGAUCUCAUCAGGAUGUUUGCGAAAACACUUUUUAUUUGGUCUAGUCCUAUUUGGUAGAGCUCGAACCAAGGUUUCACAUCCCAACAAAUUUCAAGUCCAUUUGGUAUCUCCGAGAAUCAUGAGAUAUCAUUGCUCUUGCUGAUCUCAAGAUUCUGUUUAGCACAAGUUCAUAUGUAAUCAACUGGUCGACUGGUUAAGUAAUUUCAGAAACUAGUUAACCGACUCAUUUGUUGUUUGUCUUCACAAUCUACUUUUGUAUGUUUUUCAGUUUCUUUUUUAACUUUGGCUUCUUUUCCUUUUUAAUUUUGGUUAGAUGAACAAGAGUAACAAGUUUUUAUACUUCUUGGGGUGUACCCUUAUAGUUUCUUCCUUUUAAUACAAUUACUCUUAUCCAAAAAAAAAAAUUUCAAAUGGAGAAUUAAUGGACACGAGAAUGCAAGGAAUGGAGGAGAUCAAAUGGCUCUCAUGAAAAGGAAUUGUGACCGUUCUUGUUCCAACUGUGGGUUCAUCAUUGCUGCUCAUUAGCAUUUUUGUGGCUCAGGAACAAAGGAGAAAAAGGUAAGACAGAGCAAGCAUCAUAACAGAGGAGAAAAAGGAACAGAGGAUUUUUUUUAAAUUAGUAGUAAUUAAAAUUUUUUAAUAAAAUAAUAUUAUUUAAUUUUUCAAUAAAAUAGUGUAUUAUUUUACCUUCUUGUGUUUUAAAAACACAAUAUAUACUAAAUUUCUCUGUUUCCAAUCACGAAGCGCGAUAAUUUAAUAUGAAAUAGUAAAUAAACUUGCCUCUAAAUACUGCUUUAUCUGCAUUUGUUUCUUCUUUAUCAGUUGUUUCCGGUACCUCUUUAGAUGGAGGCUCAACAUUAUCAUCCUUCUCUUGCUCAUUCUCGACACGCUGCUCUUCGGCUUCUUCCCUUGCACGUUCAUUUGACUUUUCUCCUUUGAAACCAUUUUCGCUGGCUAUAAUUACCAGCAAAGACAACCCAUCAUAGCUCACCCCAAUCUCAAAUGGUUCUCUUGAAAAGGAAUUGCUGACCGUUCUUGUUCCAACAGUGGGUUCAGCAUGGCUGAUCAUUAGCAUAUUUGGUUAUUUGUGGCUCAGGAACAGAGGAGAAAAAGGCAAAGACAAAGCAAGCAUCAAAACAGAAGGUAGAUAGAGUAACUAUCCAUAAAAGAAUAGUUGACGAACACCACACCUAUAGCAUAACAUAUGAUGAUGCUGUUAGGUUUUUUCCUUGACACUAGGCAGAAUGGAUCAGUUGUUUAGAAUCAGGUUGGGAGUUUUAGCAGGGGGUACGUCUAGUGCUGAAGAGCUUGAUCUGCUGUGAUGUACAACAUAUUUGUUUU
rnacentral:lncRNA from 1 species